UAUUUGGAAAGCUAGCGCGUAGCACAGCAACGGUCGGAAUAUUGAGCUCUCAAAUUCCUUAGUGCUAUCAUGUUCCUCACUUGUACGUAUUCCGCACUGGCGAAUUCCUAACUCCUCAGUCAGAACAAAUUCCUCAAAGACCAGAAGAUCUUCAUCUCCGUCACUGAAGAAAUUGACUGAACUGUUAUGAGAUUUCCAAAGGCUUCACUCGAAGGAUUGGGUAGGUCUAGGUUUUGAGAUGAGCAUCACAUGAAAUUUUUUUGUUAGUUUCACCUCGACCCCCUUUAACAGUACGGUGUUUCCUAUGACUCAGAAAGGAAAAUGAAACUACGAAAACAAAAGUCUUCAUGCUUCAUAAUCCUCGCGUCGAUACCAAUAUCUUCAAGGUCACACCAAUUUCAUCAUUUUCAAAGUCUUCGAGAAAACCAAAGUCUUCAACUAAAGAUAUUCAUUUUUAGGUGUCGACUUUCUUCGAAAAUAUCAAACUCCUCAUAGACUUAUUAGACCUGUGUACACUCACAAACACAUUAGUCCUUUAACCUAUAAGUCGUCAAUACAUCAAAGUCAGUAAGAGGCACUAGAUGCACUUACAUUCAACAUCUGCACCACGAAAUCUUUAUACUUAAAUUCCAUGGAAUUCAUCAUACAUUCAGAUGUUAAAUUGCUUAAACUUUUUUCCUCUAAGAGCAAACAUAGCAAAAUGUUUUUAAUGUUCCCCUUUCGAUUGUAGAAAUUACAUUCUUAUAUUUUAUUUUAACGAAUGAGAGUAAUUGUAUAUAAGUGAUACAAACCAUUCUUAUGUUUUCUCGGAAUCAAUUUCCAAGUAAUGGACAUGAGAGCCUUCGUUCCGAGUACUGUUCCCAGCCCACUUUUACGUUCUCAUCAUUUCUACUAGCGAUGCAUUUAUAUUACGCAUGCAUGUAUCGGACCUGACAAAGAGGCAUACACCUAAUGAUUACCCCUAUCCAAGAGCAGCUACAUGGAUGACAACAAAAUCAUGAACUUAGUAAAGGGAGCAUGCAAAAGCUCAUUAUGCAAGAAACACCAGUAAAAAUGGUAUCCAUGCCAUUGAGGUCGUUGCACUUUCAGAGAGAUAAUUUCCUAGAACAUCAAUGAGAAGGUCGUCAAAAAUUCUUCAAAACCAAUACUAUUUUGCCCUCCCUUUCAUUAUAUAUCCAGUAAUGGAUCGAAUGCCUUCUCUUGAGAACCAAAUACUAACCAAACCUACUCGCAACUUGAAAUAAUAUUUUGUCUCAAGAUUCCUAUUGAAAUAAAUGUGUAUCUCAGGUCCAAGGCUAUAAGCUAUAUAGUUGAAACAUGGACACAGAAGCCCUCUGAUGCUUAAUUAAAAUAUCAUGAUAAAAUUUGGUUGUGAUGCAACUUGUCAAUAAUAAUUGUUUGAUACCUGCUCAUAUUACAUGGAGACACAUAUUGGACCAAACAUUCAGCUAGCGAAGUCGAAAAGUCCAUUUGUUUCUCAAUAUAUACAGUCAACAUUGGAAUCCAGGGCUUUGACCUUUACUUCGUGAACCCUUUUUUCUCAAGUAGAGAUGAUAAUCUUGAUAUGAAAAAAAUAGACGAGAUGAUUGUCUUGAUGAAUAAUCUCUUAAGAAGAAAUACCAAAUGCAUUACAUAUAGGAAAUAGCUAAGUCAGUACUGGCAUAUUGAUGCUAAGCCUCAUGCAUCAUGCCACAACCCAGUAGUUCAUUUCUCGAACAAAUUUUGUUGUUGUUUUUGUUUUACCUAACAAUUUUUAAUGGCUUCACAGGAGGUCAACUUGCACUCUAUAUUGGAAAUCUGCCUUAUGUGCUUUAUUAAUCGGAUUGUCCUGAUGUACAUAAAAAACUGCAUGAAUAACAUUCAAACCAAACUAAGGCUUUAUCACCAUAUAUACAUUGAAGGAUAGUAAUAUUGUACCUGGAUGUAUGAGAGAUACAGAUGGGACACUGAGUCAAGCAUGCAAGUGUGCUCCAAAAUCAAGGAAACCAAAGAUCAGAAAUACAUAUAGAGAGACAGCUAACACGUUCGAUCCACUGGCUCCUAUGGCUCAACAAAUUUCAGACAAAAUGAAGAAGAAAAACCGUAGCUAAUCAAUAAGUCAAAAAAGGAGAAAAUUAGCAUAUAGUAAUUAUUUAACAAAUGCAUUCACUCCAGCGGUCCAGCCUCACUAUUGCACUUAUUAUAGAUUGGCGUAAAUUUCCAGGCAUCAACAAUUGUAGUAACAUCAUCGCCCAUCACCUGCUCGUCCUCCAUAGUUGAUCAUGUGCUAUGCAAAGUCCACAAACCCAUGUAAUUUUUUGAAUUGCGUAAUGCUCAAAGAACGCAAUGGAUGGAUGCUGCUACCAUAGCGUAAUUCUCAAGGAGUACAAUGCAUAAAGAACUCAAACUGCACAUGUUGGAAUCGAACAACAAGAAAGAAGGGAUGCAGGACGUGCUGAAUCCAAUCAGAGGAUAAGGACGGCGCACUAUGGAGGCCAUGCAUGGUGGAUUGGCUGGACAUAAAACUGCGACCGCUACGAUGACAUAUAAAGUCAAACUUGCCGAAUAAUAUUUUUCUAUGACAAAUUUUUCAGAAGGAGAUAGUGCUGGCUGGCGUACGACUGAUCAUGGAGACCCAAACUGAGUUCUUCAUGUACAUACUGCAAGGGCCGUUCAGUGACAACUCUGCAUCCUCAAUGAUGAUAGCAACCGGAUAUUAUAUUUGAAAUUGUGGUCAGAUAACCCACAAGUAUAGGGGAUCAAUUGUAAUUUUUUGAUAAAUAAGAGUGUCGAACCCAACGCGGAGCUAAAGGUAGAAUUAAUAUUCCCUUCAAGUUCUAUCGACCACCGAUACAACUCUACGCACACAGGCUUGUGGGGCCCCUGGCCAGCCUCCAGUGCUCAUCUUCUAGUAUAUAAGAAGCUUUUCCCAAGAAAAAAAAAUAAGGAGAGAGCUUUUGGGAUGGAGCGCCAUCGUCUCGUGGCGGAACUUGUGCAGGAGCACUUUUGCUCUCCAAUGGAGCGACUCCGCCGCGGACACUUCCCUCUGGGAGGGGGAAAUCGAAGCCAUCGUCAUCGCCAACAAUCUUCUCAUCGUGGGUGGACCAAUCUUCAUCAACAUCUUCACCAACACCAUCUUAUCUCAAACCCUAUUUCAUCUCUAGUAUUCAAUCUUUUUAUCAAAACCUCAUAUUGGGACAUGUGGGUUGCUAGUAGUGUUGAUUACAUCUUGUAGUUGAUGCUAGUUGGUUUAUUUGGUGGAAAAUUUUAUGUUCAGAUCCAUUAUGAUAUUCAAUACGCCUCUGAUCUUGAACAUGAAUAUGAUUUGGGAGUAGUUGCUUUUGUCCUUGAGGACAUGGGAGAUGUCUUGUCAUAAGUAAUCAUCUGAAUUUGGUAUUCGUUCAAUAUUUUGAUGAUGUGUGUGUUGUGAUUCCCUUAGUGGUGUUAUAUGAACGUCGACUACAUGACACUUCACCAUCUUGGGUCUAAGGGAAUGAGGGAAUGCAUUGUGGAGUAGUUAUUAGAUGAUGGGUUGGUAGAGUGACAAAACCUUAAACCCUAGUUUAUGCGCUAUUCCGUAAGGGGCUGAUUUGGAUCCUUAUGUUUAAUGCUAUGAUUAGAUUUUAUCUUAAUUCUUCUUUCGUAGUUGCGAAUACUUGUGAGAAGGGUAAUCAUAAGUGGGAGGUUUGUUCAAGUAAGAACGACACCCAAGCAUCGGUCCACCCACAUAUCAAAUUAUCAAAGUAGCGAACGCGAAUCAAACAAACACGAUAAAAAUGGCUAGAUGAAAUUCUCAUGUGUCCUCAAGAACGUUUUACUUAUUAUAAGAGACUGUUUCGGCUUGUGCUUGCAACAAAAAGGAUAGGGUUGCUUUGCUACACCUUAGUUACCAUUGCUAUUUGUCACUUGUUACAAAUUAUCUUGCUAUCAAACUACCUGUUAUCGAUAAUUCAGUGCUUGCAGAAAAUAUCUUACUAUUUCCUUCUACUCCUCGUUGGGUUUGACAAUCUUACUUAUCGAAAGGACUACAAUUGAUCCCCUAUACUUCUGGGUCAUCAAGCGGUUCUUUAGUUAUGCAUUCCACAAAAAGAUAUAAUCCGCAAAAAGAUUGCAACUUAUUCAUCAUCAAUACGUGAUGCAGAUUAUGGUUUUGAAUUUUAGUUUCCGGAAUAUUUAUGUGAUUUUUGUUUUUAUUUCGGCCAAAAGAAAAAUAUUUCCACCUAAAUUAGAUUGAGAUCAACCAAACUAAAAUAUCAAAUAAUAAUUUGCAUUUGUGAAUGACUACCGUGACUGCUGAAAUUUGACCGAAAGGCCAAUAUUUCAGUACGUAUCCAAAUUAUUGAAAUUUCAAAAAUUUCAAUGAAAUUUCACGAAAAGUGAAAAACAUGCACUGGAUCAAGUGGCUCCUCUGAUUGUUUGCUUGGCCUCGCUUUGCUUCAGCUUCCAUGACUUCUAUGUUGCCAAUAUGUGGAGCGCAUCGCCUUUCUUGGGAGUCACAUUUGACUAUGCAAAGGGAAGAUAAGGACUCAUGUCAAGAGUUCAAUUUAAGCUCUAGAAAUUUCUAUAAAUAUGCUCAGAUAAUCAUAUAGUACAAGUUGCUAUUAAGAUAAUUGAUAUGCUUAAGAGAGUUCUACCAAGGUAUUUAACAAUAUUAAAAUAUAUAGGAACAUACAAUACACAAUUACACAUAAAUACAAUACUAUGCGCUAUGGAAUUCAUGCAAUUGUCGGGAAAUAAAAUCAACUAAAGGAUUUAUGCUCUUUUCUAAAAUUUCUAUUUAAGGUUUUUGAUUUAACAAUCAGUAAUUGAUAUGAAACAUGACAGAACAAGCACACCACAUUCCUUUUAACAAAAUACAAAGCAAAACACUAGCAUAAUGCAAUUGGAGUUUCAAACACACACACGCAUACACACAGAGAGUAGGACAAUUUACAUCUACAUAUAAUUAUAUUCUCUAUUAUACUAAUAAUGUAAUAGGAAAUGAAUACUCAUGAAAACUGUGGUAUAAACAUGAAAAAUUAUAAGAAAUAUAGAAGUUUUGUAUAAAUAAAAAUAUCCUAACAGAUAGCUGACUCUUUCUUCUGAGACAUAGCAAUGUCCCGCACGAAUACGUUGCUCGCAACUUGUUGCAUACUAAUUACUCUCUCUUCAAUGUAUUCUCAUACAAAAAAAGACCUACGUAACAUGUACACUCUAAAUCGGUUUAUAUACCUAGAAGAGGAUUUUCAUUUUUUUUGUGGAGAGAUGGGCAUGGAUUUCUUUAUUGCCAUGAUUAUCAUCAUCAUAUCAAAGAUCAAUGAUUUGUUAGAUUUUUUCAGAACAUGUUUACACAAAACAUCACAUGAGAAAGACAUGCCCUCCUCCUGUAAAAUAUAAGUAAUAUUAAAACAUGAUUGUAAUAUAAUUCCAUAAGGUACUCUUUAGAUUGUCAUGAAUAUUUGACACUAAGAUUGACAAUAUUAAUGACUUCUCUAUAAAAAAGGCAUGAAUAGUUUCUUUAAAUUAUAUUUUUAAACAUUUUUCCAAAUUCAUGGACAUUUAAAUACGUGGACACUUUUCAAAUUUGCUAAUUCUUUUCAAAUUCCUGAAGGUUUCUUAAAAUUAUAAAAAGAAAACAUUUCACAAAAAAAAUCAGAAUUAACAGUAAAACAUUUUUUACCGAGACAAUAGACAAGUAUCAGUAAAAGAUGUAUGAAGAAAAAACCAAACGACCUAAACCGAGCAGAACAUGGCCGACUGAGCUGAACAGGAGCUUCUGAAGUAACAACCUGCAAAACAAGCAAUGCAGUAAAGCGACCCCCAAAUGACGCUGGUGACAUAGACUUGUGAUGUCAAAGGGCAACCCAACGCAUAGUACACAAGAACAAACCAAGUUUUAUUUUGAACUAGAGAAAGGCUUGAUAGAUGAAAAAGCACAACUGACUUGUUUUAAAAAAACUCACGAGGGAAGUGGACAACUAUGUCACAUCUAUAUAAACCCUAGAACCAACCAUAUAAAAAUAUGAUUUUGGAACUAUUAUAAAUAAAGUGCUUACUAUGCUCCAGAAAUGUGUACUUGAUACACUAUCGCAUUCUAGAUGUAUUGCUUCGACUAAUUCACUCUGGAUCGGUGGCUGCAUCACCGGCAUUGUUCUGUUCACAAUUGAAGUAGCUUUCAUUGUCGCCGAACAAGACAUCGUAGAUCACGUCAUCGCUCAUCUCACAAUUGAAUUCACCAUCGUGGUCGCCAAACAAGACAUCAUUGAUCUCGUCUCCGUUCUCCCCGCCAUCACAAAGCAAAAUAGUUGAGCUCGCGCUCUCAGUUCACAUGACACUACCAUUAUUGCUAUAGCCACAUAGUUCACCGGCUUGUUGCUCGCUGCCGGAGCAUAUCAGGGCGGCAUUUUCAAAUUUGUGGUUUUUAAGAAAUCAUGGUUUUUUCCAAAUCCAUGUACAUUUUAUAAUUUCAUCUAAUUUAUGACCCAUUCCACCAACUUCUAUGAGGCCUUUUAACAAGCACUACCCAAAAGGUGCCAUCCAAAACAAAAUAAUACGUAUCGUAAGGGCAUGUAUCAAGCAAUAUCUCAUAGUUAUUAUUUUCUUAAAGGUGAUGCGAAUAACUUAUCCUUCAUUUAUCUGCACAUUCCAUAUAAAACCUUGGAUUCUCUACCAUAGUUUUGUAAACUUUCCAGUGCAUCUGCUUUUCUCUGAUUAAUCACCAACAUCAAAAUAUGUGAACUUAACCUUUAUUUGCAUAGGAGUAACUGAAAAUGUCAGCUGAGUUUCGCCAAACUUCUUCUUUCCAGUUUUGCAAGAUUGCAACAUUUGCUUGCUGAUAGAAUAGGUAGAAUAAGGAAUAGAUAUUGGUUGGUAUUCAAUUAUUCUUUGUUAUAUAAUUGUCAACUUACAUAUUUGAUUGCUAGAGAAAUAGUUCAAGCAUUUCAAUGGCAUAAAUUUGAUACCUCCAAUCAAUGAUCCCUACAACAAUAUCUAUUAUUAUGUUUAGCCAAUGACCAGUUUCAAGAAUAUAUUUUUUGUAUCCGAAAGCUUUUAUUCUACAUUCAGAAGGAUGCUAUUUUGUUGGUAAACUAGGAAAGCAAAGCUUUACCUGCACUUCGCACGGAUGAUAUAGAAAUUAGCAACCCCUUUCUUUGCCGCUAAACAAGGUUGUGCCAUGUGUUUUACUGCCCUACCUAUACUAUAGCGUGGUGAUUUCCUCAAUUCACAUUGUCUGCAUAGCCGUAACCAAACCUACAUAUUACAUAUUAAUAUAUGUUGGGCUUAAUACGAAUAUAAUGCUAACUUGUGUCUUCCAGCAACUUCAAAGAUGAAUGUCAGAACAUAUGCUAUUAGAUUCAUAUGAAAUAUUGCCGGCAAUAUAUUAAUAGUGAUUUGGUACUCACGGGAAAUAAAUCUCAAUGUCCGAAGAAUUAAACCAGUAGCACAAAACGAGUUUGCAAUGUUGUACCCAGCGAUAACUUGGAUGGUGCCAUUUCCAGCAUGUUAAUUUUUUUGCUCUUACUAUACCUAAAACAUUAUGUGAAAUACUCUAAAGUAUCUCAAAUAUUUCGAUUGUCUAAAUAGGUUACAUAUUUAUAAAAAAUCUUCACUUUGACCACUUAAAAAUAUAAUAGACGCGCCUUCACGAUCUAGUUCUAGAUGUAUUGCUUCGACAAAUUUACUCUGGAUCGGUGGCCGCAUCACCGGCAUCGCUCUGUUCACAAUUGAAGUAGCCGUUGUUGUCGCCAAACAAGACAUCGCGGAUCUCGUCCUUGCUCAUCUCACAAUUGAAGUCGCCGAACAAGACGUCCUCCUCCCCGCCAUCGCAGACACUGCCAUUAUCCCUGUAGCCAGUGAGCGCACUGGCUUGUUGCUUGCCGCCGGAGCUCAUCAGGGAGGAAUGUUCAACGUGGCCAUAGAGAGCACCGGCUUGUUGCUCGACGGUGAACCCCUCGUCGUGGGAGGGCAUCUCAGCGGCAUCUCCAACCAAGUAUUGGCUGUGGUUGUGGCUCUGGCCCGGCUGGUAAGGCCACGGGGCAACCUCUUGGAAUUGGAACUGGCCGUGAUAGUUGUUGUACGCGCCACUCGUAACCGGGACGAACUGUGAAUGAUCAUAGUAGGCGCCGCCCGUCUCCACCAUGCCGCCGCGAGACAAAGCAUCAGCUUGAGCGCCGGUGAAUCCUUGGCUGUCGCUCUCCAUCGCCGCGGCAUUGUAACUCGAGCCAGGCUGAUCUGUGACCGGAAGGCAGUAGUCUUCCAGGAACGGAUACUUGAGAGGAGUAUAAUAGCAGCCGGCAUCUGCUAUGCCACCGACGUUGCCGCCACAGAGAGCACCAGCUUGUGCGUCACUGAAACUGAAUCCUUUGCUGUCGCUCGGCAUCUCGGGGGCAUCGUACUGGUAGCUCGUGCCUGGCUGCUCACGGGCGGCGGUCUUUACCUUCUUGGGGUGCUUGUUGAUCUUGACACAGCUGAGCACCGUGCCGGGGAGCGGCGGCGAUAUGAUCUCGUACUCGUGCAUGAUGUACCCCGUGCUGGCUCCGCCCUUGGUGCGGUAGAAGGUGAGGUCGUAGCGCUUGUACAUAACGUCCAGCUCGCCGCCGGCGGGGUGGAGCAGGGUGACGGUGCGCUCCUUCCCCUUCUGCCCCUGCCACACGCCGGCGCCCUUGAUGGUGCGGUUCUUGCGGCCGCCGUUCUUGGUCGGGUCCGUGCGGGGGCCGAAGAAGAAGGCGUGGUCCAUCUUGCGGUCGCCGCUGCUGUGCUUCCGGAGGAGCUCCCACGGCGGGACGCUCCCGGGGUCGUCCUCGAUGAUGGCGUGCGCGUACGGGUUAGGGAGGCGGAGCGCACGCGGGAGGAGGUAGUAGGCGACGAUGUCGUUGUCGGUGGGGUCGAACUUGAACGCCGGCGGCGCGUUGGGCCCGAAGCCGAACUUGGACGCUUCCAUGGAUGGAUCGAUCGACGGAGUCAGCUAGGUCUAGUUUCUUGGUCCCCUCGAUAGAUGGAUGGAUGGAGGAGUCGGUCGGGCACCGGCGUGGAUUGGCGAUUUGUGGCAAGCUAUUCCCUCUGUCCCAUAAUAUAAGAACGAUUUUGACACUAAUGUAGUGUUAAAAACGUUCUUAUAUUUUGGAACAGAGAAAGUAGCUAAUAAGAGUAUAUAUAGACGGGGAGGCAGAACGGAAAGCGUCGACGCGCUUCCCCCACGAAAUCGGACUGGAAACAUGCCCUUCCAGCGCUCGGACUGAAAUCGGACUCCACAAUCCCUCCCCGUCUCUCGCGAUGCAUUCCACCAACUGUUCGACAGAAUGUCAACUGUGGGUGAGCAACAAAAUCCUCAGUGUAGCACUGGAAAUGUCUGGGUAUUAAGCUUCGUCAGGAAAAUAUCAUGCACUGCUUUUGGUCUAUCUCUAACACAAACUAAGCUACAGCUAGUCAUCUAAGUAUCUAACCAUUUACUUUAUCUAUAUCUAUACUACUAUUAAAAAAGCAACCAUCAAUCCCCCUAAAGCCACACAGUAAAUUGUACACGGGAUUACCCGGAUCCUUGGAUCAAAUUAACUUAAAUACAUCCUACCAUUCAUAUUACAUCAAUAGUCUGUUACCCAGAUCAACGUCUCAGAUCAGAUGUUCUGCCAAAUAGAAGCGGUAGUCUGCCAAUCCUCGUAGCUCUCUGCGCCACGAUCCCCGCAACCCUGCCGGCAAUUCCCAGAUUUCCGGAUUGACUCCACCCGAAAUCAUGCCAGAAAAAUGGAUCCGCAGCAACUUGCGCGGCCCCACCUGCCUUCCCCUCCUCCUGUGUGCUUCCUUCCGCAUCGCCGCGAGUCGACCCUGCCUCUGGUCGUCGCCCGCGCUACUGAAAGCAGCCGGCGACCUCCUCUGCCGGUAAGCUGCACUCAGCGCNNNNNNNNNNNNNNNNNNNNNNNNNNNNNNNNNNNNNNNNNNNNNNNNNNNNNNNNNNNNNNNNNNNNNNNNNNNNNNNNNNNNNNNNNNNNNNNNNNNNNNNNNNNNNNNNNNNNNNNNNNNNNNNNNNNNNNNNNNNNNNNNNNNNNNNNNNNNNNNNNNNNNNNNNNNNNNNNNNNNNNNNNNNNNNNNNNNNNNNNNNNNNNNNNNNNNNNNNNNNNNNNNNNNNNNNNNNNNNNNNNNNNNNNNNNNNNNNNNNNNNNNNNNNNNNNNNNNNNNNNNNNNNNNNNNNNNNNNNNNNNNNNNNNNNNNNNNNNNNNNNNNNNNNNNNNNNNNNNNNNNNNNNNNNNNNNNNNNNUGUUCGAUAAUUUUUCUCUGAAGACAGAAGUUGUACACUGCUACUUUUUGCCGUGUAAGUUUUUUCCGGGCUCUCGGUAACGUCCGGUCUUUGCCAUGCUCCAUUCUUUGCGGAGUAUUGCUCUCGGCGUAGCCGAGUUUACCGAGAGCUUGUGCUUUGCCAUUCAGCAUAUGCCAAGCGUAGAUCAUUUUCUAGUAGUGAUCAUACAACAUAUGCAAAUUUCAGUUUUCGUUUUACGGAAGCUACUUUCUAUCUCGGAAUGUGAAUCCAUCAAAUUUAAUUGAUCUUAUCCAUUUAUGUAUUUCUGUUAAUGUUUCAUUUUUAAAAAAAGAGCGCGUACCUAACAUUUUUUGUUCGGUCAUAUUUAAUAUUGUGGUCUUUAACUUCACUUUGAAUUAGUUGUGGUAACUGAAAGUAAGAAAAUGCAUACCGAUAUAUUGUAACCCCAAAUUAGGUGUGCCGCCAAAGUAACCAUAUCCAACAUGUAGCCUCCCCCCGAUAAAUCAUACCUCAAAGCAUUGGUUGAUUUUGUCCCCCGUUUUAUGCUGCUUCAAAUAUAUAUAGUUUCCCAAGAAUCCAUUUUAAUUGUGUAAUAGUUAGAUAAAUAUUUUUGGGGCUUAAAAAUAUGUGUCUUCAUAUUGGACUUAGCAUCAAGUGAAGUGUUAAGAAGCUGAGGUGUAUUCUCACGCAAUUUAACUUUGGAAAAUGAUGAACCAUGACACUUCAAUGGCUUUGUAUGCAAUGUGCAGGUAGGUACAAUACUUGCUCAUUGUGGCUGAUGUUUCUACAUCUAAUUUCUUUACUUUAAUAAGCACCAUGAGAGCUUAAAUUUUAGAUCUAUGUAAUCAAGAGCUUAANNNNNNNNNNNNNNNNNNNNNNNNNNNNNNNNNNNNNNNNNNNNNNNNNNNNNNNNNNNNNNNNNNNNNNNNNNNNNNNNNNNNNNNNNNNNNNNNNNNNNNNNNNNNNNNNNNNNNNNNNNNNNNNNNNNNNNNNNNNNNNNNNNNNNNNNNNNNNNNNNNNNNNNNNNNNNNNNNNNNNNNNNNNNNNNNNNNNNNNNNNNNNNNNNNNNNNNNNNNNNNNNNNNNNNNNNNNNNNNNNNNNNNNNNNNNNNNNNNNNNNNNNNNNNNNNNNNNNNNNNNNNNNNNNNNNNNNNNNNNNNNNNNNNNNNNNNNNNNNNNNNNNNNNNNNNNNNNNNNNNNNNNNNNNNNNNNNNNNNNNNNNNNNNNNNNNNNNNNNNNNNNNNNNNNNNNNNNNNNNNNNNNNNNNNNNNNNNNNNNNNNNNNNNNNNNNNNNNNNNNNNNNNNNNNNNNNNNNNNNNNNNNNNNNNNNNNNNNNNNNNNNNNNNNNNNNNNNNNNNNNNNNNNNNNNNNNNNNNNNNNNNNNNNGAUGCGAAUAUACAAAUAAAUAUAUACGUGUAUACCCAAUAAAAAUAUAAACAUAACAAAACGUAUGGGUAUAACAAUAACACAUAUGUAUUUUCAUUGUGUAUUCGCAUCGAGGUAUAAUUUUUAUUGGGUAUACACGUAUAUAUUUAUUUGCAUAUUCGCAUCGAGGUAUAUUUAUGUGUAUAUUUUCAUUGGGUAUAACAUCAACACGUACUUAAAAUGUAUGAUAUUUAUGUGUAUAUUUUCAUCGUGUAUAACAUUAAUGCAUACAAAUUUGUGUUAGGUAUAAUACCCACUAACUAGUAUUUCAGUCUAAUAACAUAUACACGUGGGUAUCUCGCGUACAUGUACAUAUAUACGUACCCAAGUAUACGUGUUCAGACUAUUUUUGUUAUGAAAAACAAUCAUGACUAUUUAGGAUACUAGUACAUGCAAAUAAAAUAUGGAAAGUCAUUAUCUUAUCAAUUAUACACCAUGCACUAAUAAAUAGUACUUGGCAUAAUGCGCCUAGGUGCCUGGGCACCCUAGGUGCCCCAAACAAUUUACCUAUAUAUAUAUAUAUAUAUAUAUAUAUAUAUAUAUAUAUAUAUAUAUAUAUAUAUAUAUAUAUAUUUCAACUUGCUCAGCUUACUCUCCUCCAUUAUCAGUCUUUUUCAUCUGUUGGCAAUGCAUACUACUUUUCUUUGGAUUUGACUGACAUUUAUCUCAAUGUUUGUAGGCUGAUUUAUGCUAGUUCUUACUGUAGCUAUGUCAUUGUCAAGUCAUAUGUAUAUCCAACACUAGAUAUUAUGGUAGAACCACAACUCAUGCUUUGUAAGAAAGUGAGUUGUUCUGGUGCUCUUAAUAGAUUAGUUUGGAAGUGUGAAUGGAUGGGAGAUGUAGAAACCUGUUUUGGUAUAAUAUCCAUGAAACUUACUACUUCCUCCACCCGGAAUUAGUUGUCAUCCAAACGGAUGUAUCUAGCAUUGAGGGAAUACUUAUGAUGCUUUCUUCUUACAAUCUUAUUUGUUUGAUAAUGUUUUAUUUAUUUUGCAGAUUUACAUCUCCUUUUUUUGCAGGACGUCCUAUAUCCUAUGAUUCAGCAUGUUUAGAUAUGUUUUCACAGAAAAAAACAUGUUGAGAUAUUUUGAUUUUUAUUCCUCUUGUAUAAGUUCUGCUGGGUUAAGGAUCUUGACAAACUGGAAGUUUCUAAGACAUGAUACCGUAUCACUAUAUUUGAAGAUGUCCUGCAUAUUUUUUAUAAAAUAAGUGCAAAAAUAUUUGAACAAGCUUCUUGAUACAUGAUGCAUGCAUGUUUAUGACUCCCAAUAAAUGUGCAUGGGGCUGCUAAAUGUUGUGUUUUCUAGUUAUCUUAAAAAACAUGAGAUGUUGAUUUUAAUUUUGCAUCUACCAUUAAGUAUCUUGUGAUAGGUUUAAAUUUAUACUAGAUGGGACAACCGUUGCACUUAUAAUGUUAUUAUUUGAUGGCAGUCAGAAACAUGGGAUGUUGAUUUUGUUUCACCCAAUAAGAAGCUUGUGAUAGGUUUAUAUUUACCUAAGAUCUUCAAAGUGCACAUGCACUGUUUUGGAGGAAACGAGCUGUCGGGCUUCAUAGCCAUGCAUGUGUUGUUUUUUGUCUGCUAGUGCAUGUUGCUAUUAACAUUAAAUGUGUUCAACUAUUUAGUUCGGUUUGAAAGAAACAACUUCACGUGCAAUUAUUUUGGUUUUCCAAAUUUUAAAAAGCCAUAUCUUUCAAAUCGCACGUCAGAAUUCAGAUCCAUCUUCACCGUUGGAUUCUUCGCGAUGAGAUCUUUGAAACUAGAGGUUAUGUCUCGGCAAUUUUUUAUGCCAACUUUGGUGCUAUAUUGUGCAACUUCAGUACUGCAAGAUGCAAUUUUUUUGAAAACCAGAUUUUGAAGCUGCAUGAUCUAACUUCGCAUGAGGUUGCAGCCUAGCAACCAUGAAAACUUGAUGUGCAUCUAAUCUACUGUCCCGACCAACUAUGUAGUAGUCGAUGUGCAACACUUGUCCCUACUCGUGGAUGUGUAGUUUUUUUAUAGUUGACACACCCUGCCCCACCUUACCUACCAGUGAUAUGUGCAACUUAGUCUGUUGUUCGAGCCAACUUCCUAUUACUUGAUGUGCAGCUCCUUUCCCUCCCUACUUGUGGAUAUGUAGUUUCAGUUGGCGGGGGCAAUAAACGGAGUUGCACAAAGUCUCCUAGGCAGUUGGCCGGAGCUCGGAGCCACAUAUAAAGUUGCACAUCUCAUAGGCAGGGAUAGUUGGAUGGUGAAAAUUCCACAUUCAUGAGGAUAGUGAAAAGUUACAUAUUCAUGAGGGUAGUAAAAGUUACGUAUAAACGGGGCGCUAAAGUUGCACAUCCCACUACAGGGGUGGUUCCGAGUGCUAGUAGAGAAAUUACGCGUCCAUGAGGUAUGAGGGAUAGUUGCACAUCAUAGGUAGACAGUUGGCGGUGACAGUAACCGAAGUUGCACAUCCACUGCUUGACAGUUGGCCGAUGCAGCAAACAGUGAAAGCACAACCACGAACACGGAGAAAGUUACACAUGAACUACUAGGCGGUUGUCCUGGGCAAAAUACGAAUUUGAACAUCUCACUGGGAGGAGGUCGUUUGGGGUGGAUGUGCCAUCAGUGAGAACUACACUUCCACGGGGUAGGCGGAAAGUUGCACAUCCACUGUCAGGUAGUUGCACAUCGACUACUAGAUAGUUGCACAAAACGGAAGCUAAAUUGCACAGAAAAAAUUCGUCAAAACAUACCCAUGCAGGAUCUAGUUUCGAAGAUCUCGUUGCGAAGAAUCCAACGGUGAAGAGGGAUCUAAAUUCCGACGUGCGGUAUUGAAAGAUAUGGCUUUUCAAAAAUUCAGAAAGCCCAAAUUAAGUGCAUUCACACCUGUUCAUGUGUGUGGUUUGCAUUAACCUUUUACUUUUUCAGUUCACAUAUAUUCACACGUGUUCACUUUUUCUAAUAUGAAUUUUAUGGACCAACUGUUUUUAUUUAUAGAUUAUUAGAAGAAUAAAAUAUUUUCUUUUGUAGAUUAGAGACUAGAAAUUUUCUUUUUCAGUCGGCUGCUCCGGAGCGUUAGGGAGCAGCCGACCUCUCCCAAGACGCGUCCUUAUAUUUUUAUGUUAGUCGAGCCACCCUUCCAUCGUAUAUUGUUAUCAUUUUGAUAACUGUUUGAUGGGAAUUUAGAUAUGUGACAUACAAGCUUACUAGUCAGGAAAAGAUUUAAAAUGAAGAGAGACUACUAGGGAAAAGCCUAGCAGUAGCGCGGGUCAAAGGGCUAUCAGCAGCGCGGGGCUCCGCUCUAUUAAUACGGAGCUACAGCUAACGUUUAUUAGUAGCGAUGUUUGACACACGCUACUGCUAUACCUACUUAGGAGUAGCACUUUCCAAACCAGCGCUACUGCUAAGUGCUUUAGCAGUAGCGUUUUCCUAUCCAGCGCUAAAAAGCGCUACUACUAUAUUUUCUCAUAUCUUUUUUUUGCUGCGUAUUUGUGAUGUUUUUGUACAAGUUUUAUAUAGUAUUCUAAUCAUAUCAUAAACAUGCAAUAUGAUCAUCAUAUCAUACACAUAAUAGUCUCAUCAUAUCAUCCAACACAAAUCUUGUUGUCACAUCAUAAUCACAAUAUAGUUAUACAAGUUACAUGACAUGUCUCAUCAUACAUAAUGUAGUACUUCUUGAGGCGUCGGUUCGUAUCCCUCUCUCGCACUAGCGUGAACCUAAACUAACUAAUGGCUAUCGCUCGGAAACCAGAAACUGGUACACCUGGGCCUGACACUCCGGCCACUCGUCGUAUACUCCUGGCGUAGCACUUCUUCACCAUCGAUGAUCUAUGCACCUGCAUCGUCACAUGAGUCGAUGAUAUGCAACAUAUAUAGUUGAGCAAUAGAAAGAGACAGGCUUGGCAAAAGUAGAAGCAACAUAUCAUAAGCAUAAAUAACAAAGUUCAUCGUACCCAAAAUGCCCUAACUAGAGUGAUCUUCGCUAGUUGAGGAGGACGGUUUAAUUACAUCACAAAUAAAGUUUUGUUGUGCAUAACUCAAAGUUUUGUCAUACAGAAAGUAUGGACUAAACGGACACAUUGUCAUAUAUCGUCAAUCACUCCAACAUGUCGUGCCAUCCAUCCAAGUCAGGGAGAUAGUCCCCGAGCUUAGUGAAAGGGUUUAGGUCGAGACGCUGAGCGGCUAUGCGUGUUCGGACGUCUUCCCGCGACAUUUCUGCUUCUUCGUAGAACAUCCCUGUUUUUUCGAGGACCUCCUUCAUGAUGAUUUUGGAAACUUCAUGCUGGAUCUGAUAGAACUCAGCUCGAAGUUGAUGAUCCGGGAUAUCUCCUAGGUUCUUUGCCCAUUGCAGAAUAUGGGCAUCGCCGGAUGUAGGUGACAUGCCAAGGUUCUGCUGAUCCCAUCUGUACUCCAGCAUGUGGUGUAGGACAUAGAAUCCAUCACUAAGAGUACCACUCGGUUGCUGGAUGCACCAGAAGUUAGUCUUAUGGCCGAAGGUGGGCCUGCGGUUCCUCGUCUUCCUGGUCUUGAUCUCUCCACCCCGUGCACCAUAGAUAAAGAUAGCACUCUCGAGAACAGACUUGAUGUGGGUGUAAUCCUUUUUGUUCAUGUUCUUUGACGAGUCCAAGUAAAGAGCGUGGGAGAAUCGGGGGAAAAGGAUGAUGAGGAUGGCGCGCCCGCGGCUGCGCAAAAUAAGUACACCUCAAAUUAGCAUCCACCGUGCAAAUUAAUGAUUGAAAUUGAAGGAAGAAUAUCCGCGCGGAUGACUUACAUGGAAUGAUAAGGCACGAGAAUCGCCUCCUUGUCCUUUUUAGCGACCAUGAAAUCGGCGAUGUAGUCCCUCGCAUAUUUACGAUGCUCUGUGCUGACUGCCAAGAAGCCCUCGUGCAUGAAGUACGGGUUAGCGACACAGAUAUAAGGUAUCUGCUCAAUCUCGAUGAUGUAGUUCUUGUACAAGGCAAAAAGGCGGACAAACGUAAAAUCCAGCUUUUUCAAGUGAAACAUGUCGAAGAUGUAAUCAAAUCGAAGGAAUAACUUCUCCGCGGGGAAUGUGUCGACGUACAACCUUUGUCGUGGCACGUUAACCACGUAGAGUGGGUAUCCUAGAUUUUCUAAGGCGAUUAGGCUUUUCUCUCUCCGCAGCACCUCGUCAUGAAGUCUCCUUAGAUAGCCGUAUAUGGCCUCUACCGCUGCCUUAGGUAGGAUCGGAUGAUCGGGGAUAUGACAUUUUUCCGCAACGGGGAUAGCUAUACGGUCUUGAACCCGAGGCUGCUGAGGCGGCUGGAUCAUAGAAGUUGCUUUGUUGCCUUUCCUUGCUCUUUUCCUAUGCUUCUUUGCUAUUGGAAGGCUGUCUAUAAUAUGUUCAGCCGCCGGCAAUUGAGGCGCCGAAUCAUGAUGCUCAACCCCUGAGUACUCAUACUGUUGAGCCAUCAAUCCUCCGUUGUCAUAGGCGCCAGUAUUGAGAUACUGUAGAGUGUCAUCGUCAUGCUCAUACUCAUCGAUGGCAUCGAUAUCAUGCAUUGCUUCUUUGACGGCGGCGACGUCAUCAACGACUAAUGGAGCCUCUUCCUCACCCUGUCCGCUAUCACCCGGCACGACAGGCGACGCUAAUUGGGUAGGUGGGGUAUUGAUGUUCAUAUCUUGUUGAGGCUACGUGGUCGCGGGUGUGCUCCCGGCCGCCUCCAGACGAAGCAGAUUCUUUGGCCACAACAGGACCCACCUCUUGCAAUCCCAAGCUACCGUAGGGUCUCGCCGUCAUCUCCCCUAGUACCGGAGGAACCAAAUUCUAGUGGCCAGGUUUGACACUGGCCACGGAAAUCUUGAAGACGUCAGGGGGGAUCAGCCAGCUAUGGAACAAUUGUUCCUUCGGCUUCACUAUCGUCGCCUUCCCCACGUCCACCUUCUGGCCGCUGAUGGUGUACAAUAUGGUGCACGGGGUUACAUCGGCCUACAAAGAUAUGUCUGCCUCCAAUGUAUCUAUAAUUUUUGAUUGUUCCAUACUAUUAUAUUAUCUAAUUUGGAUGUUUAAUGGGCUUUAUUAUACACUUUUAUAUUAUUUUUGGGACUAACCUAUUAACCGGAGGCCCAACCCAAAUUGCUAUUUUUGCCUAUUUCAGUGUUUCGCAGAAAAGGAAUAUCAAACGGAAUCCAGAUGGAAUGAAACCUUCGAGAGAGUUAUUUUUGGAACAAACGCAAUCAGGGGACUUGGAGUGGACGUCAAGAAAGAAGCGAGGAGGCCACGAGGCAGGGAGGCGCGCCUGCCCCCCUGGGCGUGCCCCCCACCCUUGUGGGCCCCUCACAGCUCCACCGACCUACUUCUUCCUCCUAUAUAUACCUACGUACCCCGAAACCAUUCAGGAGCACCACAAAACCCUAUUUCCACCGCCACAACCUUCUAUACCCGUGAGAUCCCAUCUUGGGGCCUUUUCUGGCGCUCCGCCCUAGGGGGCAUUGAUCACGGAGGGUUUCUACAUCAACACCAUAGCCUCUCCGAUGAUGUGUGAGUAGUUUACCUCAGACCUUCGGGUCCAUAGUUAUUACCUAGAUGGCUUCUUCUCUCUCUUUGAUUCUCACUACAAAGUUCUCCUUGAUCUUCUUGGAGUUCUAUUUGAUGUAACUCUUUUUGCGGUGUGUUUGUCGAGAUCUGAUGAAUUGUGGGUUUAUGAUCAAGAUUAUCUAUGAACAAUAUUUGAAUCUCUUCUGAAUUCUUUUAUGUAUGAUUUCUUAUCUUUGAAAGUCUCUUCGAAUUAUCAAUUUGGUUUGGCCUACUAGAUUGAUCUUUCUUGCAAUGGGAGAAGUGCUUAGCUUUGGGUUAAAUAUUGCGGUGUUCGAUCCCAGUGACAGAAGGGGAACUGAUACAUAUUGUAUUGUUGCCAUCGAGGAUAAAACGAUGGGGUUUAUGUCAUAUGCUUGAGUUUAUCCCUCUACAUCAUGUCAUCUUGCCUAAUGCGUCACUCUGUUCUUAUGAACUUAAUAUUCUAGAUGCAUGCUGGAUAGCGGUCGAUGUGUGGAGUAAUAGUAGUAGAUGCAGGCAGGAGUCGGUCUACUUGUCACGGACGUGAUGCCUAUAUACAUGAUCAUGCCUAGAUAUUCUCAUAACUAUGCACUUUUCUAUCAAUUACUCGACAGUAAUUUGUUCACCCACUGUAAUACUUAUGCUAUCUUGAGAGAAGCCACUAGUGAACCCUAUGGCCCCCGGGUCUAUUUUCCAUCAUAUAAGUUUCCGAUCUAUUUUAUUUUGCAAUCUUUACUUUUCAAUCUAUAUCAUAAAAAUACCAAAAAUAUUUAUCUUAUCAUCUGUACCAGAUCUCACUUUGGCAAGUGGCCGUGAAGGGAUUGACAACCCCUUUAUCGUGUUGGUUGCAAGGUUCUUAUUUGUUUGUGUAGGUACGAGGGACUUGCGUGUGGCCUCCUACUGGAUUGAUACCUUGGUUCUCAAAAACUGAGGGAAAAUACUUACGCUACUUUGCUGCAUCACCCUUUCCUCUUCAAGGGAAAACCAACGUUGUGCUCAAGAGGUAGCAAGCAGGAUUUCUGGCGCCGUUGCCGGGGAUUCUACGCACAAGUCAAGACAUACCAAGUUCCCAUCACAAACUCUUAUCCCUCGCAUUACAUUAUUUUCCAUUUACCUCUCGUUUUCCUCUCCCCCACUUCACCUUUGCCGUUUUCUUCGCCCUCCUUCCGUUCGAUCUUGUGUUACCAUGUGCCUUCCUUUUGCUUGCAUCUUCGCUUGCUAAAAGUUUAUGGAUCCCUAUCCACUUGCUAAUCUUUUUAAGAGAUCCAAUUAUGAUGAACCUAUUGCUAGUGAGUUUAGUGCACUAGAUUAUCACUACUAGGGAAAACCUUAUACACAGAACUUUAGCAGUAGCUGGUGCUAAGUACCAGUAGCGCGCCUGCGCAAACCGCGCUGCAGAUAAAGUUCUAGCAGUAGCGCAUCUUCUUCUAAACACGUUACUACUAAAAUUCCCAAGGCUUAGCCGAUAGGCUACACAUAGUAGUAGCGACCUAUAACGAACCGCGCUACCGCUGCUUUCUUUGUAGCAGCGCGUUUUAGUCUAAACUCGCUACUGAUAGAGGAUAUAAAAUUAAAUGGAAAGAAAAUAGAAAGGUAAUUGAAAAUGAAAGAAAUAGAAUAAGGUGAAAGGAAAAAAAAUAAAAUGUGAAGAAAACUAAAUGAAAAAGGGGAAAAAGAGAAUGGUGUACCAGUAGCGUGUAUUCCAGAACGCGCUGUAGCUAACGUAGCAGUAGCGCCCUUUCUGGAAUGCGCUACUGGUACUUCUGACUUAACCACGGGGUUCGUCCUUCCCCACGGCCACUUUAUCCCCCAAAUCCAACUCCACUCUCACCGCCGCCGCCGCCCGUCGGCCGUCGCGCGCUCUCCGCACACCCUCUACGCCACCCCUGACCCCAGAUUCAACGUCGCCCCCGCCCCUGACCUCAACGCCGCCCCGGACGCCGCCCCCGACCCCGACCUCAACGCCGCCCCGGACGCCGCCCCCGCCCCCGACCUCAAUGCCGCCCCGGAGCCCCGACCACGACCUCGACGCCGCCUGCCCCUCCCUCGUCGCAGGCACCCAAGGUGAGCACGCNNNNNNNNNNNNNNNNNNNNNNNNNNNNNNNNNNNNNNNNNNNNNNNNNNNNNNNNNNNNNNNNNNNNNNNNNNNNNNNNNNNNNNCUCCUCCCUCUCCCCUACCUCUGCCUAGGGUUUCUACCUCCAUCAAAUUAGUUAGGGUUCAUGUAAGGGUGGAAACGAAUCGGAUGCGGAUGCGGCUCAAAUGAGUUAGGGUUCAUGUAAGGGUGGAAACGAAUCAAAUUUCUAAGAUGAAUCAUAAAACGAGUAAAAUUUGACCACUUAUUUCACUUUAUAGUUGGAUAAUUGGAAUAUCCGCUACCACUUUCCACCCCUAUAGGUUCAUCAAAUUAGAUGGUAAUUAGGGCAGUAGUUCCUAGGUACUAAUUAGUUAGUAAGAACUAGGUACUAAUUAGGUACUAGAAUAUUUUUAUUUAUAGUAAGUUUAUAGUUAGUAAGAACUUGUUGCAAUUUUUUAUUUAAAGCAAUUUUCCCGCAUCGACGUGGACGAUGCCUAUCCCGCAUCCUCGUCAUCGAGUUGGCGAAGGACGACACCUGCUUGACCAGAUGGGCCAUGUCCGGGACUGGGCUCCGCCGGGGUGGUACUGGGAGGCGCUACCUACCGGGGGCCGCAGGUUGGUGAGGAGCCAGCCUGUCGUUGACCCGAACCUUCUUUGGUGGCGGUCGCGUGGGCCAGUGACGGUGCAGAGGAUCGAGGACCCCGCGGAGGUGGUGCGUCACCGUGUCAGUGAGGAGGACACGCACGUCCGUCGCUACUUGUUUGCGUUGGAGCACAGGUUCUCCAAUACCUGACAGGUUCUCUAGGGAUCUCACUGGAGCUAUGAUCCCGUGAUGGUUCCUUCUCUGUGAGUGUCCACCGCCCGCGCCGAUACCCGUCGUGUGCUAGGGUUUUAGUUGUACUAGUGAUGUUAUAUGUACGACACUAUUCGGGAUGUAUUAGUGAUAAUAUUCGACGAUGUACGGACGCAUGAGAUGAUUUAAUUUUGCUUAUUGAAUGCAUGCUAAUUGAGUCUUAUAAGAUAUUUUGAAAUGUAUAUCUUGUGUUGCUCAAUAUCCAAGUGGCCGGUCAUGUUUGCAGGUUACACCUCCGAGUGGCCUAUGUUUUGCCGGAGUGUUGAUUCAUUUCCGUUCGGGAAAAUUCCAGGCGCUCGAUAUGUCCUAUUUUAGCAAAGGUCAUGCCGGAUUUUUCUGUGAAUUUUGGCAUGACUUUUGCCAGAAUAUGUAGGAAAUAUCGAGUGCCCCGGAUUUGUGUGUUGAGUAUCCUGGUAGUUGUCUUCUAUCGAUUUUCAAUUAAUGUUUUAACUAUGAACAUAGGACAUGUCUGACGACAAAAAGGAUUUCGGUAUUUGCAAAUACUGCGAAGACGAGCGCGGCCUGUGCGACGGAAUCUUCCUAGAUGAUGAUAGGCGCUUCAGCAUCAAGCUGGACGAGAACUUCAAAGUGGAUAAAGUAAGUCACAACGACAAGUCUUUUUUUCGUAAUUAAGCAUGACAUCUACUUCAUUUGCUUCAACUUAUAUUUUUUUACUAUUCUACUAGCGUAUCCCCUGCCAUGCAGAGUUUUUGUAUUGGAUAAGAUAGGUUUCAGUCAUUCUAUGGAGGUAAAGAAAGUUUACUUAAAGAUGGAGCAUGGUUAUAUUUUCCACACAAAAUUAUACAAUUCAGACGACUACACCUAUUUUGGAAGCAAAACAUGGCGAGCACUAUGCAAGACUUAUGCAUUUGAGCCUGAUAUGGUUAUCACCUUUGAUAUUCGUCCGGAAGAUGAUAUUAAAGGUAAUACCGACAUCUGGGUCGAUGUGCAGACGCCUCCAGUUACACCAUUAUGUAAGUUUCUCAACCAUAUUUAUGUCUUUGAUAUUGUUUAUUCAAAAAUAGUUGACAACUAAUUUGUAUUGUCAGCUUAUUUCGGUGCAAGCAAACAUGUCCAGCGCUUGGUAGACAGGACCUACUACUGUCCCGGGGCUGAACUAAACUGCGAGGAGCUAAGUCAUUAUGUUUCAUGGCUUGAGGAUCUUGAUACUGUCAAGACAAAUUUUCUUCCCGGACUUAGAAAUGUUAGUACUGAAAACGUGCGACCAAUAGUGUUCGUAAUGAACUACGGUCACAUCUAUUUAGGAAGGAUGGUAAUAUUUUUACUAUUUGUCCUCAGUGCAUCUUUUCCAUACAUUAUUUGUGAAGCUAAACUUCAUUGCUAAGUAUGUGACCAUACGAUGUUCUUCAACAGGGACUCCCGAUUAAUGUUGUGCCUUAUGAGAUCGAGACUAAAGGUACCAUGAGUAUUAUUAGCUUACGGCCAAGAUAUCCUACAUGUUACUUUAGUGCAUUCAAGAUCAUCGAUGAAUGCUUAAUAGUGCAAGACUGGACCAGAUAUGUGAUGGGGGAGCGCAGAGAAGUACUAGGGGGCAGCAAACAGAUGUGCUACCCAAAAUUAGGAGACAUGUUCAUCUGCAUGCUCCAACUUGAUCAAGGAGGAGAGCUACACAUGUUUUAUGUUAUUUUACCUAAGAGAGAGCAGCAGGAGUGAUUAGCUAGAAAUGAGUUUGAGGAUGAUGAUGUGCUACACCAUUACUAUGAUGAUAAAAUAGCUAGAGUUGGUGGCAAUGACUAUGAUGAUUAUUAUUAGCUAGUGUUAGUGGUGAUUAAAUAAAUAUUGUUGGUGGUAAUGAUUAUGAUGAUGAUUAAAUAGGUUGUGCUGGCGGAUUAGAUUCAAGUGGAGAUAACAUGUGGUGCACAUCGAAAGUACUACUAGUCCAAACUAGAUCAAGUUUGGAUUAGUAGUAUACUUUUGACAUGCACCACAUAUUGCCUCCACUUGAACCAAAUCCACCUUCAUUUGACACACUGUUAUGGACAUAAUGAUGUAAACCUCAUAACUGGUAUUGUACCAAUAUUUGUACGAUGGCGCAUAAAUACACUAAAAAAAUAAAAAACAAUACUAGUAGCGAUGGAGAGAAAACACGCUGCCAGUAGUUACAUUAGCAGUAGCGUGGGAGUGAACAAGCACUGCAGCUAUUUGUCCUAGCAGUAGCGCGUGCGGCACGCGCUACUGCUAAGCAAUAGCUAUAGUGCCUUAUUAGUAGCGCGCCUACCCGCGCUACUAGUAAGCACAAAACCAGCGCUACUGCUAUGGUUUUCCCUAGUAGUGUAUCUUUAUGAGGUUUUGCUUGAAAUUCGUGAAUCUGAAAAUUGUGAUGAAAGAAUUUAUGAAGAGAUUCACGAUAGCUCCUUGAACAAAAAGCAUGAUUGCAAUGAUUUUACUAUAAAUUCUCUUGAUGUAAAUUGUGCUAAUAAUAUGCAAAACCCUAAGCUUGGGGAUGUUAGUUUUGCUAUGUCUACUACUUGUUGCAAUGAUCAUGAUUGGGGUGAUUCUUCUUAUGAUCUUGAAAAUUUAUUUAAGCCCCAUGAUGAAUAUGGGAUUGAUAAUAAUGUUUGCAAUAAUAUUGAAAGUGGGUUUGGAAGAGUGUCAACUUUAGAUCCCACAUAUUUGGAUAAUGUUCAAUCUUAUGGUAUUUUUGAUAAAAGUGGGUUUGGAGAGGUCAUGACUUUAGUUAAUGUUAAUCCCACUAUUUUUGGAAGAGAGUCAACUUUGCAUGCAUGUGGAUCAUGUUAAAAAUAUUUUAUGUGAUAGCUAUUUUGUUGAAUUUGCUUAUGAUCCCAGAUGUAAUUAUUAUGAGAGAGGAAAAUAUGGUUGUAGAAAUUUUCAUGAUAAUAAAUUAGCUCUCGUUAUGUUGAGAUUGCUAUUGUUUUUUCCGCUUCCUUGCAUAUGCUAGUAUUUGCUUGCUAUGAUAAUUUGUUUGCCUAUAAGAUGCCUAUGCAUAGGAAGUAUGUUAGACUUAGAUGUGUUUGUCAUGUAUUUCAUCAUGCUCUCUUUGCUCUUCAAUUCUUGUCUUUCAUGUGAGCAUCAUCCUAAUCUCAAUGCCUAGCUAGGGGCGUUAAACGAUAGCGCUUGUUGGGAGGCAACAUAAUUUUAUUUUGUUCCUUGCUUUUUGUUCCUUUUUAGUAAUAAAUAAUUCAUCAUGCUACUGCUAUGAUUAUGUUUUUUGUGUUUUAGUUAGUGUUUGUGCCAAGUAAAACCUUUAGGAUAACCUAUAGUGAUAGUUAUUUGAUCUUGCUGUAAAAGACAGAAACUUUGCGCGCACGAGAUUAGUUUUCAUAAAUCACAGAAACGUGCUUUUCAGUAUAUUAUUUUUGUAGUAUAUUAAUAAACAAAUUACCAAGGACUUCUUAAUUUGGUAGAAUCUUUGGAGUUCCAGAAGUUUGCGUUUGUUACAGAUUUCUACAGACUGUUCUGUUUUUGUCAGAUUCUGUUUUUCGUGUGUUGUUUGCUUAUUUUGAUGAAUCUAUUGCUAGUAUCGGAGGUUAUAAACCAUAUAUAAGUUGGAAUACAGUAGUUUUAACACAAAUAUAAAUAAAGAAUGAGUUCAUUACAGUAACUUAAAGUGGUGAUUUUCUGUUGAGUUUUGUGUUGUGAAGUUUUCAAGUUUUUGGUAAAGAUUUGAUGGAUUAUGGAAUAAGGAGUGGCAAGAGCCUAAGCUUGGGGAUGCCCAAGGCACCCCAAGGUAAACUUCAAGGACAACCAAAAGCCUAAGCUUGGGGAUGCCCCGGAAGGCAUCCCCUCUAUCGUCUUCAUCCAUCGGUAACUUUACUUGGAGCUAUAUUUUUAUUCACCACAUGAUAUGUGUUUUGCUUGGAGCGUCUUGUAUGAUUUGAGGCUUUGCUUUUUAGUUUAACACAAUUAUCCUUGCUGUACACACCUUUUGAGAGAGACACACAUGAAUCGGAAUUUAUUAGAAUACUCUAUGUGCUUCACUUAUAUCUUUUGAGCUAGAUAACUUUGCUCUAGUGCUUCACUUAUAUAUUUUAGAGCACGAUGGUGGUUUUAUUUUAUAGAAAUUAUUGAUCUCUCAUGCUUCACUUAUAUUAUUUUGAGAGUCUUUUAGAACAGCAUGGUAUUUUUCUUUGGUUGAAAUUAGUCCUAAUAUAAUAGGCAUCCAAGAUAGGUAUAAUAAAAACUAUCAUAUAAAGUGCAUUGAAUACUAUGAGAAGUUUGAUACUUGAUGAUUGUUUUGAGAUAUGGAGAUAGUGAUAUUAAAGUUGUGCUAGUUGAGUAAUUGUGAAAUUGAGAAAUACUUGUGUUGAAGUUUGCAAGUCCCGUAGCAUGCACGCAUGGUAACCGUUAUGCAACAAAUUUGAAACAUAAAGUGUUCUUUGAGUGUCAUCCUUUGUGUGGAGGUCGGGGGCGCGCGAUGGUUAACUCCUACCAACCUCCCCCCUAGGAGCAUGCGUGUAGUUCUUGGUUUUGAUGACUUGUAGACUUUUGCAAUAAGUAUGUGAGUUCUUUAUGACUAAUGUUGAGUCCAUGGAUUAUACGCACUCUCACCCUUCCAUCAUUGCUAGCCUCUUCGGUGCCGUGCAUUUCCCUUUCUCACCUUGAGAGUUGGUGCAAACUUCGUCGGUGCAUCCAAACCCCGCGAUAUGAUACGCUCUAUCACACAUAAACCUCCUUAUAUCUUCCUCAAAAUAGCAACCAUACCUACCUAUCAUGGCAUUUCCAUAGCCAUUCCGAGAUAUAUUGUCAUGCAACUUUCCACCGUUUCAUUUAUGACACGCUUCAUCAUUGUCAUAUUGCCAUGCAUGAUCAUGUAGUUGACAUCGUAUUUGUGGCAAAGCCACCAUGCAUAACUUAUCAUACAUGUCACUUUUGAUCCAUUGCCCAUCCCGGUACACCGUCGGAGGCAUUCAUAUAGAGUCAUAUUUUGUUCUAGUAUCGAGUUGUAAUCAUUGAGUUGUAAAUGAAUAGAAGUGUGAUGAUCAUCAUUCAUAGAGCAUUGUCCCCAAAAAAAGAGAAAGGCCAAAUAAAAAAAGGAAGGCCCACACAAUAAAAAGAGAAAUAAAAAGGGACAAUGCUACUAUCCUUAAUCCAUACUUGUGCUUCAAAGUAGCACCAUGAUUUUUAUGAUAGAGAGUCUCUUGUUUUGUCACUUUCAUAUACUAGUGGGAAUUUUUCAUUAUAGAACUUGGCUUGUAUAUUCCAACAAUGGGCUUCCUCAAAUGACCUAGGUCUUCGUGAGCAAGCAAGUUGGAUGCACACCCACUUAGUUUCAUUUCUUGAGCUUUCAUAUAUGUAUAGCUCUAGUGCAUCUGUUGCAUGGAAAUCCCUACUCACUCACAUUGAUAUCUAUUGAUGGGCAUCUCCAUAGCCCAUUGAUACGCCUAGUUGAUGUGAGACUUUCUUCUUUUUGUCUUCUCCACACAACCCCCAUCGUCAUAUUCUGUUCCACCCAUAGUGCUAUGUCCAUGGCUCACGCUCAUGUAUUGCGUGAAGGUUGAAAAGGUUUGAAAAUUCUUAAGUAUGAAACAAUUGCUUGGCUGAAACUGGGGUUGUGCAUGAUUUGAAUAUUUUUUGUGACGAAGAUGGGACAUAGCCAAACUAUAUGAUUUUGUAGGGAUGAACUUACUUUGGCCAUGUUAUUUUGAGAAGACAUAAUUGCUUAGUUAGUAUGCUUGAAGUAUUAUUAUUUUUAUGUCAAUAUUAAACUUUUAUCUUGAAUCUUUCGGAUCUGAACAUUCAUGCCACAAUAAAGAAAAUUACAUUGAGAAAUAUGCUAGGUAGCAUUCCACAUCAAAAAUUCAGUUUUUUAUCAUUUACCUACUCGAGGACGAGCAGGAAUUAAGCUUGGGGAUGCUUGAUACGUCUCCAACGUAUCUAUAAUUUUUUAUUGUUCCAUGCUAUUAUAUUAUCUAAUUUGGAUUUUUAAUGGGCUUUAUUAUACAGUUUUAUAUUAUUUUGGGACUAACCUAUUAACCGGAGGCCCAACCCAAAUUGCUGUUUUUUUUUGCCUAUUUCAGUGUUUCGCAAAAAAGGAAUAUCAAACGGAAUGAAACCUUCGGGAGAGUUAUUUUUGGAACCAACACAAUCUAGGGGACUUAGAGUGGACGUCAAGAAAGAAGCGAGGAGGCCACGAGGCAGGGAGGCGCGCCUGCCCCCCUGGGCGCACCCCCACCCUCGUGGACCCUGAUACGUCUCCAUCGCAUCUACUUUUCCAAACACUUUUGCCCUGGUUUUGGAUUCUAACUUGCAUGAUUUGAAUGGAACUAACCCGGACUGACGCUGUUUUCAGCAGAAUUGACAUGGUGUUAUUUAUGUGCAGAAAGAAUAGUUCUCGGAAUGACCUGAAACUCCACGGAACUUAUUUUGGAAAAUAUUAAAAAUAUUGGCGAAAGAAUCAAGGCCAGGGGGCCCAACACCUNNNNNNNNNNNNNNNNNNNNNNNNNNNNNNNNNNNNNNNNNNNNNNNNNNNNNNNNNNNNNNNNNNNNNNNNNNNNNNNNNNNNNNNNNNNNNNNNNNNNNNNNNNNNNNNNNNNNNNNNNNNNNNNNNNNNNNNNNNNNNNNNNNNNNNNNNNNNNNNNNNNNNNNNNNNNNNNNNNNNNNNNNNNNNNNNNNNNNNNNNNNNNNNNNNNNNNNNNNCCCUGCCUCGUGGGCCCCCUAGAGCUCCAUCGACCUCAACUCCAACUCCAUAUAUUCGUGUUCGGGGAGAAAAAAAUCAGAGAGAAAGAUUCAUCACGUUUUACGAUACGGAGCCGCCGCCAAGCCCUAAACUCUCUCAAGAGGGCUGAUCUGGAGUCCGUUCGGGGCUCCGGAGAGGGGAAUCCGUCGCCAUCGUCAUCAUCAACCAUCCUCCAUCACCAAUUUUAUGAUGCUCACCGCCGUGCGUGAGUAAUUCCAUCGUAGGCUUGCUGGACGGGGAUGGGUUGGAUGAGAUUUAUCAUGUAGUCGAGUUAGUUUUGUUAGGGUUUGAUCCCUAGUAUCCACUACGUUAUGAGAUUGAUGUUGCUAUGACUUUGCUCUGCUUAAUGCUUGUCACUAGGGCCCGAGUGCCAUGAUUUUAGAUCUGAACCUAUUAUGUUUUUAUGAAUAUAUGUGAGUUCUUGAUCCUAUCUUGCAAGCCUAUAGUCACCUACUAUGUGUUAUGAUCCGGCAACCCCGAAGUGACAAUAAUCGGGACCACUCCCGGUGAUGACCGUAGUUUGAGGAGUUCAUGUAUUCACUAUGUGUUAAUGCUUUGGUCUGGUACUCUAUUAAAAGGAGGCCUUAAUAUCCCUUAGUUUCCAAUAGGACCCCGCUGCCACGGGAGGGUAGGACAAAAGAUGUCAUGCAAGUUCUUUUCCAUAAGCACGUAUGACUAUAUUCGGAAUACAUGCCUACAUUACAUUGAUGAAUUGGAGCUAGUUUUGUGUCACCCUAUGUUAUGACUGUUACAUGAUGAACCGCGUCCGGCAUAAUUCUCCAUCAUCGAUACAAUGCCUACAAGCUUUUCACAUAUUGUUCUUCGCUUAUUUACUUUUUCGUUUCUACUGUUACAAUCACUACAAAAUCCAAAAAUAUUACUUUUGCUACCGUUACCGUUACUCCCAUAUUACUUUGCUACUAAAUACUUUGCUGCAAAUAUUAAGUUAUCCAGGUGUGGUUGAAUUGACAACUCAACUUCUAAUACUUGAGAAUAUUCUUCGGCUCCCCUUGUGUCGAAUCAAUAAAUUUGGGUUGAAUACUCUACCCUCGAAAACUGUUGCGAUCCCCUAUACUUGUGGGUUAUCAGGCCCCUCGCAGCUCCACCGACCUACUUCUUCCUCCUAUAUAUACCUACAUACCCCGAAACCAUCCAGGAGCACCACGAAACCCUUUUUCCACCUCCAACCUUCUGUACCCAUGAGAUCCCAUUUUGGGGCCUGUCGGUGUCAAAACCGGCGGAUCUCCGGUAGGGGGUCCCGAACUGUGCGUCUAGGCGGAUGGUAACAGGAGACAAGGGAUACAAUGUUUUACCCAGGUUCGGGCCCUCUUGAUGGAGGUAUAACCCUACGUCCUGCUCGAUUAAUAUUGAUGAUAUGGGUAGUACAAGAGUAGAUCUAGCACGAGAUCAAGGAGGCUAAACCCUAAAAGCUAGCCUAUGGUAUGAUUGUUCUAUAUAUUGUAUAUCUAUCGACUAGCCUGGCCUCGUUUUAUAUAAUGCACCGGAGGCCUAGGAUAACAAGAGUCCUAGCCGAAUACGCCGGUGGGGAGAAGUUCUUGUCUUGAUCGCCAAGUCUUGUGGAAUCUUCCUUGUAUGCGGUAGCCGUCUGAACUGUCCCAGGAGUAUACAGCCACGGGGGUCCUCGGCCCAAUCUAAUAGACCGGGAGACGACGUGGUGAGUACCCCCUAGUCCAGGACACCGUCAGGGCCUUUUCUGGCGCGCCGCCGGAGGGGGCAUUGAUCACAGAGGGCUUCUACAUCAGCACCAUAGCCUCUACAAUGAUGUGUGAGUAGUUUACCUUAGACCUUCGAGUCCAUAGUUAUUAGCUAGAUGGCUUCUUUUCUCUAUUUGAUUCUCAAUACAAAGUUCUCCUCGAUCUUCUUGGAGAUCUAUUCGAUGUAACUCUUUUUGCGGUGUGUUUUGUCGAGAUCUGAUGAAUUGUGGGUUUAUGAUCAAAUUAUCUAUGAACAAUAUUUGAAUCUCUUCUGAAUUCUUUUAUGUAUGAUUUGUUAUCUUUGCAAGUCUCUUUGAAAUAUCAGUUUGCUUUGGCCUACUAGAUUGAUCUUUCUUGCAAUGGGAGAAGUGCUUAGCUUUGGGUUCAAUCUUGCGGUGUUCGAUCCUAGUGACAGAAGGGGAACCGAUACGUAUUGUAUUGUUGCGAUCGAGGAUAAAAAGAUGGGGUUUAUAUCAUAUGCUUGAGUUUAUCCCUCUACAUCAUGUCAUCUUGCCUAAUGCCUUACUCUGUUGUUUUGAACUUAAUACUCUAGAUGCAUGCUGGAUAGAUGUCGAUGUGUGGAGUAAUAGUAGUAGAUGCAGGCAGGAGUGGGUCUACUUGUCACGGACGUGAUGCCUAUAUACAUGAUCAUGCCUAGAUAUUCUCAUAAUUAUGCACUUUUCUAUCAAUUGCUCGACAGUAAUUUGUUCACUCACCGUAAUGCUUACGCUAUCUUGAGAGAAGCCACUAGUGAAACCUAUGGCCCCCGGGUCUAUUUUCCAUCAUAUAAGUUUCCGAUCUAUUUUAUUUUGCACCCUUAACUUUUCAAUCUAUAUCAUAAAAAUACCAAAAAUAUUUAUCUUAUCAUUUCUAUCAGAUCUCACUUUUGCAAGUGGCCGUGAAGGGAUUGACAACCCCUCUAUCGCGUUGGUUGCAAGGUUCUUUUUUUUUGUGUAGGUACGAGGGACUUGCGUGUGGCCUCCUACUGGAUUGAUACCUUGGUUCUCAAAAACUGAGGGAAAUACUUAAGGUACUUUGCUGCAUCACCCUUUCCUCUUCAAAGGAAAACCAACGCUGUGCUCAAGAGGUAGCACCGGUGAGACACCCUGCGCUAUCGCUAGCACAGUGCGUCAGUCCCACACCAGACCAUCUCCGAUCCAUUACCCACCCCACCAACCGUCCCAGUGCACCCCCACACCGCACCCAUCCCUGAUCCAGAUUCCCUCCACCUCCUCUCCUCUCCUUUCUUCUCUGAUUUGUCGUUCCCGUCUCUCCCUCUCCCUGAUCCAUGGUGGAAUCCUCCGUUGUGUACACGUCCUGCAAGCCACACGCGCGCGCAUCCUUCCUCCACCACCCGGCCGACCAGGCCCAUCCCGGCAACCAGCCCGAACUGCUCCCUCCACGACAUGGAGGCGGGGCGGCGCGGCGACUCCGAGGGCGAGCCUAGUGGCGGCGCCAACGACGACGGAGGAAGCGGUGUACGAGGUGGUGCUGUGGAAGGCCGCGCUGGUGGAGGACGUGGUGUGGCACACGACGCCGGUGGUGAUGCAGGUAGUGGACACCAUGGGGAUCCCGCCGCUGGCGGUCCGCCACGGCAUGCCAGGCGGCAAGGUCGAGCGGUACUCCCUCGUGCUGUCCGACGACCUGCACACAAUGGAGAUCAAGCUCAUCACGCCCCUAAGGCAUCUCGUCAGGGACGGCUGCGUCCGCCGGGGCUCCGUCGUACGCCUCCUCUGGUACUGCACCAUCUUCAAAUAAGACUACCAGAUCCAUUAGACCAUUAUAAUAUCCCUCACUUUGCUUGCAUAUAUACGAGUCAAUAAGUGGUAUGUUCAUGGCCGAUCAGGUAUAUAAAUAUAUAUUUCUUCUCCUCUUCAGUAGAAAAUUGGGUACUUAGUUGCAUGUAUUUGAAAUUAUAAAUGUGCCACUUUAGUGUUAGCAGGUAUGUCCAACUGAGUUGCACACAAUUAUUUUUGUGUUCUUAUUACUGUUGUAAAUUAUCAAGCUUCAAACUUUAUUGAAUGUCGACUGGAAUUAAUUUUCCAUUAGUCGUUCAAUGGUGUUGUAGCCGAUCAUCAUGGCGAACCCUUAGUAGAGUUAUUCUGACAAAUUAAUUAUUUUGUCUUUGCAGUGCUCUAUGUAUCUCUUGUCUGUUGUAUGUUGGAUCUAUAAUUUUCUAAAUCCAGUACUCUGGUAUCUUCUGGAACCUCUCCUAGACCCUUAAUUUUCAAGCUGGAAGUUCUAGUUAUUGAUAUUUCACUCCGCAAUCUCCCUGUCACUUUGCUGCACACUUACAAAUUCUUGAUUACUGUUUGGAAUUCGCUUGUCACCUGUAAAUUGUCAAGAAGAUUUAUUUCCUUUACUAGAGCUAUAAACCUGGUUACCUCAUAGAAAGAAAGUCGAAGUUAUAGACUACAGAAAUAAGUUUGAUGUGCACUGAAUAAAUUGAUUUAGUCACUCACCAUCACUCAUCCCAUAAAUUUUAUUUACCUGGUAGUCAGAUUGCCUCUACAAUGGUGGAUGGACAGAAGACGUCCGAAAAAUUAUUAAUUAUCUCCAUCGCAAGUAUCCAAAGGCUCCGAUGUUCUGUGUUGGUACAAGCUUAGGUGCCAAUAUUGUGGUAUCUUCUCUUGGUCUAAAUUUUUAUUUCAUUUUCUAUUUCUAUCACAAGUGACAAUUGAAUAGUUGUUAGUUCCUUAUAGUCUACGAACACCACUUAUAACUGCGUCUACAAAUUUACUGGAACUCUCACUAAUUUUGAACUUAGUUUGACACCUCCUUCCUGAGAAGAAUGUAUUUGUCAUGAAUAAAGAGAUUCACUGCUCAUAGAACCUAUGAAGAAUCUUUCCUAUGUUUUGAUUUAUUGGUAACUUAGGGUUAGGGUGGCAUCUGGGGAGAUUUCUGGAAGUGCUUUUAUUUUUUUCUUGUUUACCGAUAGCGAAAACUGUUGGAGGCUGCAACAGUAAAUUUAAGUAUCAAAUUUUACUUUUGCUUUACUAUUACUCAGUUACAAAUUCUCAACCUCCUCUUUUGAUUCGUAACAAAAUCAUUUUGAUAGAAUGGCAGGGCUUCUCUUCUGUACAGCCAACUUUACCCAAUUGCUUCCACAGAGCAACACCAAAUCCGCACUUAGCAUCAUUGUGUCAGUGCAACACCGAUUCAGCACUUAGAAUCAUUGUAUUUUGUCAUUUAACUUCAGUUUUGUAGGUAUGUGACAGAUUUAUUGCCCGUAAGCUUGUGCAAUGGUUUUAUGACAAAGCCCUUGCGUUUGGUCUAAAGGGCUAUGCAAUGUUGUAAGUAUCUGGUGCUCAGUAAGCAUUUUUACAUGACUUUUUAGCGAAUCUCCAAUUUUGACGUCAUUCUUACUGUUUUGGUUUUGGUGCUACUGCUAUACUCUCAUGUAAAUUCCUACUAUGUGUAUAUAUGAAACUUAAUUUUAGUCUUUUUUAAUAAAUUAAAUUCUCACUUGAGGACAAAAGAUAGACCUUGUCUAUCUACCCUUGUUCAGUGAUGCCAUUUUUUUGUAGUUCUAAUUCUUCUAGGUAGUACCAACAAAGAGCACACCAAAUGAUUUCUUCAGGAAAGAGGAAAAGCCCAUUAACUUCAUAUUUCAUUUGUCAAGUCUGUGAACUGGCAGGUAUAUAUGUUCAGGCUUCAGUUUGUAUAGUCACUAUGCUCUACCAACAGUAGAUUCAUGGACUUUGUUAUCUUUGAAAACGUGAAAGAUAUCAAGGUAUUGAAGUGACUACUUAGAAAAAUGGAAAGAUAGAAAAUUGCCGAAAGAAUUAUGCCUCUAACUCCUUAUGUGCUUCGUAGGUGCUGUUUCUUUUUAGGGCUUCCAACACAACAGAAUUCCUUCUAAUAUUUUGUGUUAUAUUUUGUCAUGGAAGUAGCUACGUGCUGCUUCAGUGUGUAGUUAAGUUGUGCAUUAUGGCUUAAAUAGGAAUCUCGGAAAAAAAAUUGUAGCACAUUGGCAUCAACAUGUACCACAUUGUUUUUCCGUGUCAUUCUUCUGAAGAAUCUGAAGUUUCUGAAUCUCUGUUGGUAAUGUUGCAGGCUUGUGGUGGCGACGCUAACGGUCGUCGAGAGGUUCAUGGACUGGAUGGUGUCGUGGCUGCCGAUGGAUUCCUUCGUCCGCUGGUGGUGAGGCACGAGCACGACAUCGAUCGAGGCCUGCUGGAGCUGAGGGUCAGGGCGAGGGACCUGACAGCGUCACAACUCAAGGCGGCGGCCGCCGUCGGAGAGGUGUGGCUCGCGAUGCUGCUCGGUGUGUUUCAUCGCAGCUGCAGGCCACGUGAUUAGGCCGGGCAGGCUUUGCACAUUGACUAGGCACACAACACUAUGUGAUAGGAAUUAUACAUGAGUUGCCGCUAGCUACAAUGAGAAAUUGUGUGAUGGAAUGGAAUUGCUUCAUUUUUUUUAAUUCCUCACAAGUUACUAGUAGCGUGGGGAGGAAACUGGGCGCUACUAGUAUAUAGGAUACUAGUAGCGUUUGUAGUUCACCAAUGCUACUACUAUUUCAUUACUGGUAGCGCGUGUACGUAAUAGCAGUAGCGUGGGUGGAAAACGCUACUAGUAACUUUUUUAGCUAUAGCGUGGGGUAAAAACGCGCUACUGCUAAAAUUUAUCUGUAGCGCCGUAGCAGUAGCGUGAGUGUACGCGCUACUGAUAUGCAAAAAACCUACGCUACUGGUAGUGUUUUUCCUAGUGGUACCCACUUGGGCCUCGCCAAUGCCUCAGACAGCGAGUCGCUUUCGGCCGCAAUCCUGUGCUGCUCUCUCUGCAAAAGGAACAAGGAUCAUUUACAAAUAUGACUAAACAUGCAGUCGAAUUGAUCAGAAGCUAAAAUUACCAACAGUCUCAUGAACUCCGUCGUGACCAUGUCCGUCUCGAAAACCUUCUUCACUAGGUCCCAACGGUACGGGGCCCUGAGGACGUCACGCUCCUGCGGGACGGUGAACUCCACCAAGGGGUCUAGGAUGCCCAGACUUUCGUGUUCCACGUCCUCCUUGGCCCAUAUGGACCUCUUCCCCGCGUAACCACGGCUUCCUUGUGGUGGCACCCCAUGUUCCCACUAGUAGAAAAAGGGUCAAAUGUGAGACACAUUAGUCCCGGUUUGUAACAGAACCGCCACUAAUGUGUCCAUUAGUGCCGGUUCCAACGGCUAGGCUGGAGGAGCUCUUUAGUAUCGGUUCGUGGCGAACCUUUAGCACCGGUUCGUGCCAUGAAUCGGUACUAAUGAAAGUGGUGGCAGGAUGUAGUCAGAGUGGGGCCCCUCCAACACCUUUAGUACUGGUUCGUGGCACGAACCGGUACUAAAGGUCGUCCUAUAUAAACCCUUCGUCCACCAGCACUCUGUUCUUACCCCUUUCCCUCUCCCUCUCCUCUGUUCUUCCCUUCUUCCUCUCGAGUUCAUCACAAAAUUUGCCCCAAAUUUGUCAAGAUUUGCAGGCCCCCAGCCAUUCAAAUGAUCACAAAUGUUAGCAACUUUGUCCUUUCAUCUCUCAUUGCUAGAUUAGCUCUUGCAUUGGUUUAUACAGUGAUUAAUUGUGGGUUUUAGUAAUUUGGGAGGAAUUAUAUGUGGUAGUAUUUGAUUUAUAUGCAAAUUGAGGUCAAAAUAACACUUAGUUUGCAUAUGUAGGUGUGGUUUACUUAGUGCCUUCUAAAUCUCCGUCGUAACCAUCGUUGAUCGCCCGCACCGUCCCGUCUCCGGCACCACCUUGUGGUGAGCCUCUUGUUCAUGAAAUUUUAUAUAAAAAUUGAUGUUUGUGUGAUUUGGAUAUAUAGUUACUCGUAUAAUUAUCUUACCCGUAUGUUGUUUGUUAUACAUAGUGUCAUGGUUUUGAUAUCCGUCCCCGUCGGCCCUCGUCCUUGUUAUGAUUCGAAUGUGGUAUAUUCUCUUUUAAAACUAGUUGCAUUUCGUGUUUAUGAAAAAUUAUGCCCAUCAAGUUGACAUAGAUAUUUUUUUCUAGGAGGUAUGUGAACCGGAAAUUCCAACCGACCCUAUUGUCGAAAGGUUAAAUUUAGUUGAAAGAGAAAAUGAGUACUUGAAAUUUUUUUUGAAAAGAAUUGAGGGGGAGAAGAUGGAAUUGGAGUUGUAUGUUGCCGAUGUCGUCGAUGAUCACAAGAUCAAGAUGGAGAAAAUGCGCUUGAAGAUUAGAAAGUUAGAAAAUAUGCAUCGAUAGUGAGGGUUGGUAUCAUUAUGCUGUUGGAUCAAUUGUUACCUUAGUUGCGAUCUUGAUCGCAUUUGUUGUUGCAUUUAAAUGCUUUAGCUAGAGAGUUAUUUGUUUGUUGCAUUUAAGUGUUGUAUGAACUUUAUGUAUUGUAUUAAUUUGGUGUAUUUGGUGCUGUGUAUUGAAGAUGAGCCAGCAAUGGAUGUACGAUGACCGAUGCUCUCCCGAGUUCAUUAAUGGCGUGCAUACUUUUCUGCUUGCGGCUGAGGCAAACAAGCAGGCGGAUGGUUUUAUGCCUUGUCCAUGUGCUGGCUGUAAGAAUGGUCACAAUUACUCUAUGUCAAGAACCAUUCACGUCCACCUGUUUGAGUCCGGUUUCAUGCCCCACUAUAAUGUUUGGACCAAGCACGGAGAAAGAGGGGUUAUGAUGGAACACAAUGAAGAAGAGGACGACGAUAGCUAUCCUGGCCAUGGGUUCCCAGAAUACGAUGAUACAACAAUGGGGAAAGAAGCUGAGCUGAUAAUGCGGGAAGAAGCUAAGCCGGCAAUGCGGGAAGAAGCUGAAGAAGAGGCAUCAGAUGAGCCCGUUGAUGAUCUAGGUCGGGCCAUUGCCGAUGCAAAGAGAAACUAUGCAAGUGAUUUGGAGAAGAAGAAGUUGCAGCGCAUGUUAGAGGAUCACAAAAAAUUGUUGUACCCGAAUUGCGUAGGUGACAAGAAAAAGCUGGACACCACACUGGAAUUGCUGCAAUGGAAGGAAGAGAAUGGUGUAUCUGACAAGGGAUUUGGAAAGUUGCUGGUAAUGAUAAAGAAUAUGCUUCCAAAGGACAACGAAUUGCUCGAGAGUACGUACGAAGCAAAGAAGGCUAUCUGCCCUCUAGGGUUAGAGGUGCAGAAGAUACAUGCGUGCCCUAAUGAUUGCAUCCUCUACCGCGGUGAGUACGAGGAUUUGAACGCUUGCCCGGUAUGCGGUGCAUUGCGCUAUAAGAUCAGCCGCGAUGACCCUGGUGAUGUCGAGGGCGAGCGCCCCAGGAAGAAGAUUCCUGCCAAGGUGAUGUGGUAUGCUCCUAUAAUACCACGGUUGAAACAUUUGUUCCAAAACAAAGAGCAUGCCAAGGCGAUGCGAUGGCACAGAGAAGACCGUAAGAAAGACAUAAAGUUGAGAGUACCCGCUGACGGGUCGUAGUGGAGAAAAAUCGAAAGAAAGUAUGGGAAGGAGUUUGCAGAUGACACAAGGAACGUAUGGUUUGGUCUAAGCGCAGAUGGCAUUAAUCCUUUUGGGGAGCAGAGCAGCAACCAUAGCACCUGGCCUGUGACUCUAUGUUUGUAUAACCUUCCUCCUUGGUUGUGCAUGAAGCGGAAGUUCAUUAUGAUGCCAGUGCUCAUCCAAGGCCCUAAGCAACCCGGCAACGACAUUGAUGUGUACCUAAGGCCAUUAGUUGAAGAACUCUUACAACUGUGGAAUGGAACAGGUGUACGUGCAUGGGAUGAGCACAUGGGGGAAGAAUUUGACCUAAAGGCGUUGCUGUUCUUGACCAUCAAUGAUUGGCCUGCUCUCAGUAACCUUUUAGGACAGACAAACAAGGGAUACUGCGCAUGCACGCACUGUUUGGACGAUACCGACAGUAUAUAUUUAGCUAAUUGUAAGAAGAAUGUGUACCUGGGACAUCGUCGAUUUCUUCCGAGCAGGCAUCCCGUAAGAAAGAAAGGCAAGCAUUUCAAAGGUAAGGCGGAUCACCGGACGAAGCCUCGCCACCGUACUGGUGCUGAUGUACAUGAUAUGGUCAAGGAUUUGAAGGUGGUCUUUGGAAAGGGUCCUGGUGGACAACCUGUUCCGAAUGACGCUGACGGACGCACACCCAUGUGGAAGAACAAAUCUAUAUUUUGGGACCUGCCCUAUUGGAAAGACCUAGAGGUCCGCUCCGCAAUCGACAUGAUGCACGUGACGAAGAAUCUUUGUGUGACCCUGCUUGGCUUCUUGGGCAUGUAUGGGAAGACAAAAGAUACACCUGAGGCAUGGGAGGACCAGCAACGUAUGCACGGAAAAGACGGCAUACAUCAGGGUCAUGCAAGCUACGCUCUUACCAAAGAAGAGAAGGAAAUCUUCUUUGAAUGCCUGCUCAGUAUUAAGGUACCGUCUGGCUUCUCGUCGAAUAUAAAGGGAAUAAUAAACAUGGAAGAGAAAAAGUUCCAGAACCUAAAGUCUCAUGACUGCCACGUGAUUAUGAAGCAACUGCUUCCGGUUGCAUUGAGGGGGCUUCUACCUGAAAACGUUCGAUUAGCCAUUGUGAAGCUAUGUGCAUUUCUCAAUGCAAUCUCUCAGAAGGUAAUCGAUCCAGAAAUCAUACCAAGGUUAGAGAAUGAUUUGGUGCAAUGUCUUUCCAGUUUCGAGUUGGUGUUCCCACCAUCCUUCUUCAACAUCAUGACACACGUCCUAGUUCACCUAUGCGAAGACAUUAACAUUUUGGGUCCUGUAUUUCUACACAAUAUGUUCCCCUUUGAGAGGUUCAUGGGAGUCUUAAAGAAAUAUGUUCAUAACCGUGCUAGGCUAGAAGGAAGCAUCUCCAAGGGCCAUGAAAAUGAGGAGGUCAUUGAGUUUUGUAUUGACUUUAUUCCUGACCUUAAGCCGAUUGGUGUUCCUGAAUCGCGGCAUAAGGGCAGACUGGAUGGAAAAGGUACGCUAGGAGGGGAACAAAUAAUAUGUAUGGACGGACAUUCUCUCACUGAAGCACACUACACAGUUCUACAGAAUUCCACCUUGGUGGCUUCGUAUAUGGAUGAACACAAGAAUUUGCUACGCUCCAAACACCCGGAGCGGUCUGAUGACUGAAUUACACGUGAACAAACCAGGAGUUUCGUCAGCUGGUUGCAGACACGUACCAUGCAUGACGCCUCUAUUGAAGAUGACCUGUACUUGCUGUCCCAGUUACCAUCUUCGAGUAUAAUGACUUUCAAAGGGUACGAGAUAAAUGGUAUUACAUUUUACACGAUCGCCCAAGAUAAGAAGAGCACCAACCAAAAUAGUGGUGUCCGCUUUGAUGCAGAAACCAAGACGGGAAAGGAAACAUAUUAUGGUUAUAUACAGUACAUAUGGGAACUUGACUAUCGACGUUGUUUGAAGGUCCCUUUGUUUCAGUGAAAAUGGGUUAAUAUGACACGAGGCGGGGUAACGGAAGACCCGCAGUACGGAAUGACAACAGUGGAUCUCAACCAUCUUGCGUAUGCAUACGAACCAUUCGUCCUAGCCAAUGAUGUGGCACAGGUUUUCUAUGUGAAGGACAUGUCUACCAAGCCGAGAAAAAGAAAAGAUAAGGAAGCGAAUGCAUCGUACGAUGAGCCAAAGUGGCACAUAGUUCUUUCUGGGAAGAGAAACAUCGUGGGAGUGGAUGACAAGACAGACAUGUCAGAAGAUUAUGAAAAGUUUGAUGAAAUUGCUCCAUUCACAGUGAAUAUUGACCAGAGCAUCCCGUUAAAUGAUGAAGAUUUUCCAUGGUUACGGCGCAAAGGGACACACGCGAAGAAAAAGUUUCACACCCAAAGACUGGGAUGUGAUCGGCUUCACUAUCAUCACUUUCUUCUGUGUUUCACACCCCGGAGGGAAUCUCUGUAAUAGUUAGGGUAGUUAUGUGUUUUGGCAUUUGAAACGCGAAGAAAUUUUAUGUGCAAACAAAUUCUUUCAUGCCUUUGCUGAUUUUUAAAGUUAAGUUAUUCACAAACUAGUGAUUCACACUAAUUUCAAAUAAUUCAAAAUUUAAGCUAUUCAAAUUUGAAAACUACGGGCACUAAUAGAAAGUUUGUAAUAUUUUGUACCUAAAGCAAAAAUAUUCACAAAGAAACUCUAAAUACAGAAAAAACGACUCAAAAAUAAAUAAAGCAAAAAAAAGCCCGCCUACUGGGCCAGAGCGGCCUGCAUACGACUAGAAACCCAACCUGUUGUUGGGCCAGGAUGCAGGCCCGCAAAGGCCCAGUAGGCCCAUAGGACAGCACAGAACAUGUAGGCCCAGUACGCCUGCUUUGGAGAGGAGCUCGAGAGAGCUACCGCACGGGGGGUUAUAAACCAGUGUGGAUGCCCCUCGGCUAGCGAGGUGGGACUAAACUUGCCGCACCGCACCUGCGCCAGCGCACCCCCUUUAGUAUCGGGUCGUGGCACCAACCGGUACUAAAGGGGGGGCCUUUAGUACCGGUUGGAGCCACCACCCGGUAUUAAAGGGGGCGCGCUUCCCGCCGCUUGGCCUGGCCAAAACAGGCCUUUAGUACCGGUUGGUGGCUCCAACCGGUACUAAAGGUCCAUCCUAUAUAAGAAAACACUUCAAAAAAUUCAGUUUCUCAUCUGCUUCUUCUCCUCUGCCCCGUUGCCCGCCGCCCCCAUCUCCAUAUCCCUCGUCGCCGCCCCGUCCCCAUCCCCGUCCCCGUCGUCCCCGUCCCCGUCGUCACCGCCGGCCCGUCCCNNNNNNNNNNNNNNNNNNNNNNNNNNNNNNNNNNNNNNNNNNNNNNNNNNNNNNNNNNNNNNNNNNNNNNNNNNNNNNNNNNNNNNNNNNNNNNNNNNNNNNNNNNNNNNNNNNNNNNNNNNNNNNNNNNNNNNNNNNNNNNNNNNNNNNNNNNNNNNNNNNNNNNNNNNNNNNNNNNNNNNNNNNNNNNNNNNNNNNNNNNNNNNNNNNNNNNNNNNNNNNNNNNNNNNNNNNNNNNNNNNNNNNNNNNNNNNNNNNNNNNNNNNNNNNNNNNNNNNNNNNNNNNNNNNNNNNNNNNNNNNNNNNNNNNNNNNNNNNNNNNNNNNNNNNNNNNNNNCCCGUCCCCGUCGUCGCCGCCCCGUCCCUGUCCCCGUCGUCGCCAUCCCCGUCGUCGCCGUCCCCGUCGCCGCCCCCCGCCACCUCUCGCCUCGCCGGUGAGUACACACACACACACAUACACUUUGUUUUUCUGUUUUUUAGUUAUAUAUUUUUUUCUUCUGUUUUUUAGUUAUAGAAAUAAUUAUAGAAAUGUUAGAAUUUUUUCUGUUUUUUAGUUAUAGAAAUAGUUAUAAAAAAGUUAGAAAUUUUUCUGUUUUUUAGUUAUAGAAAUAUUGGAAAUGUUAUACAGAUGUUAGUUAUAUAGAAAUGUUAUAAUUUUUUUUCUGUUUUUUAGUUAUAGAAAUAUUAGAAAUGUGAUAGGAAUGUUAGUUAUAUAGCAUUGUUAGAAAUGUUAUAGAAAUGUUAGUUAUAUAGAAAUGUUAGAAAUUUUAGUUAUCAAAAUCCAAUCAUUAAAAAAAUGUUACUUUUUGCGGGCAUAUAGUAUUUGUUCUCGACGAUGCCCGGCCCGCAUCCUCGUAGUCGACCCUUCCGCGACGACGUCCGGCUGACCCAUGUCCGGGACUGGGCUCCGCCGGGCUGGCACUGGGAGGUGCUGCCUGGAGGGGCGCGCCGCUUGAUGAGGAACCCGGCCCCAGGGCCCGUCGUCAACCCUGAUCUCCUUUGGUGGCAUUCGCGUGGGCCACUUUCGGUGCGGAAGGAGCCGGCCCCGUCAGAGGUGGUACGUCGCCGUGUCAGGGAGGAGGACGAGCACGUCCAUCGCUACAUGGUUGCGUUAGAGGGCGGCAGGUUCUCCAAUACCUGACAGGUUCUUCAGGGAUCUCACUUGAGCUAUGAUCCUGUGAGGGUUCCUUCUCUUUGGGUGUCCACCGCCCACGCCGUAGGAACCGCGAGUGUCCUAGAUUCUUCUGUAGUAUUCGAUCUUUAUUAGCUACCUAGCCAGUGAUGUAUCGAUAUAUAAUAUUCGAGACGAUGUGUUUGAGAUUAUAUAUUAUUCGAGACGAUGUAUUCGAGAUUAUAUCUAUUAUUCGAGACGAUGUAUUCGAUAUUAUAUCUAUUAUUUGAGAUGAUGUAAUUUGAAUACUAAAUUGUUUUAUAUUUAUUUUGGAUUAGUUAAAUAAAAGCUAUGGCGGACAAUACCGGCAGAGAGGGAGAACAGGCCCUGUUUGAUAUCAUACGCCAUCCUCGCGGGCCAGAUGAUGAUCAGAAUGAAGAAGAUUAUGACGGCUCCAAAUUUCUAAACAACACGGGGGAGGGUGGUAUGAUAUUCGAUCGCGACGACCGAAUUGAUGAAGUCAUGAACUAUGAUUAUGAUGAUGAUGAAAAAAAUGUUGAUCUUGAAACAACAAAGACCGGUGAGGUAUAUAUAUUUAUAUAGGCAGGCAUCUGGUGAUCAUCACAUGUUUUAAAUGUCUUGAAGAUAUAUUAAUGAAUUGAUCUUUCUUCCUUCAGCCAUCCGGAUCGAGCAAAUCUUCAGGCAACAAGAAACGAGGCCCGAACAAAAACUUGAAGGAGGGCGUAAAGUACAAUAUCGAGGCCAUCAAACCUAAUGGCGAACAAUUAGCGCCCAAGAAGAUUGCGAACAUGUUCAUUCGUCAUUGCGGAGUUCUUGUGAAGGACCAACUCCCGAUCUCCCUUCAAGCAUGGAGAGAGCCAGCAAAGCCACGUCCAGAUGUUACUUUUGUCGACGACAGACAAAAAGGUCUGCUUUGGGAAACUCUCAUGGAACAUUUCACCCUACCAGAUCAUUUCACAGAUGCAGAUGUGAAGAAAGUCAAGGACGCUGCUCUUAGGAAGAUGGCGAUUGCAUUCAACAACCACAAGAAUCGUGUAUGGGACAAGUACGUCAAGGGAGGAAGGAAGACUCCAGUAUUCGAGGGAACACUAGAGAAGCAAAGUGCUCAUUGGGACGAUUUCGUGAAAUUGAAGGAUUCGGAAUUAGCUAAGGAACGGUCGAGAAUAAACAAGAAGAAUGCCAAAAAAGGAUAAGUUCCAUAAGCUGGGGCCAGGUGGCUAUGCGGUGGCAAUGCCUAAGUGGGAUAAGUCUGAGAAAGAGAUGGAGGAUGCAGGUGUCACUCCGGUUACUAGGAGCUGGCCCCCCAGGUGCAGGACUUGGUUCUAUGCGCAUGGGGGGGAGUCGGACCCGAAGACAGGCAAAGUUUCGACGAAGGCAUGUCUGAACGGAGCUGACGAUAAGCUACUUGUUGCAAUAGAAGAGGCUCGAUCGGGGGUGUUCCAGCCCAACAGAGAGAACGACGAGCUUACGCGUGCCCUGGGAAAUCCUGAACACCCGGGAAGAACACGAGGCAAGGGCGCUAUUCCGUGGUAUGAGGGGUUUUCGGACUGGAAUGCUGACUACAGAACCCAUGCAAGAAAGAAGAUUGCGGAGGAGAAGAAGAGGAAGAUGGAGGAGGAGCAGAGGAAGCUGGACUAUGAACGCCUUCAAGGCCUAGAAUCAGCGCACGCGGACUUGGCAGUCAAAUUCCAGCGGCAGCAGGAGCAGAUCGACUCACUUAGCCAGCAAAGGGGGUCUCAGCAGCUGCAGCAGCUAGCGGAUGAUCCAGCAUUGAAUAGCACCGCCCCAUCCAUGCCGAGAAGCAGCAUGGGUUCCGCCCCGGGCUACGCAAUGCUGGAUAGAUACCCCAUGGAUGACAUCAUGGAGAACACUAACUGCGAGCUACACUUUAAAAUGAAGAACAUAUCCAUGAAGGUGGCGGACGCCGUUGCUUUUACAAAUCCCCCCGAGGCAACCUUCCAUUGCAACCCGAUUCCAGCGGGCUAUGCUCGUGUCUUGGUUGAUGAGGUGGUGGACCCAUAUUCGGGGCUACAGCUUGACAUUCCUGGAGGUGACGACAAGCACACAUUGGGAGAGGCCAUAUAUUGUAUCAUCCUAUGGAGAAAGGAUUGCAUCGUCUUUCGAAGGCCACCGACACCGCGUCACCCGACUUCUUGUCGAAGUCCGCCACCGAGUCAGCAGACUCCUGCUCCUCCAACUCCACCAAUGCGUGAGGUCACUCCUCCUCCUCCAAGUCCGGCAAAGUGUCAGGCCACUCCUCCUCCAAGUCUGACACAGCUUCAGACGUCCACUCCUCCUCCAAGUCCGGCACAACUUCAAGCCACUCCUCCUCCAAGUCCGGCACAGCUUCAGGCCACUCCUCCUCGUCCAACUCAGCCACGUCAGUUGUCUCCGCAGCCUCAGCAAUCGCAGAAGAGACAUGCCGCAGCUAUGGUGCGUAGCGGUACGAGUCGAGGUAGUACAGGAAGUACAGGCGGAGGCAAGCGAUAUAAAUAUGGUCCAAGCCUCGCUCCUCUUCCUCAGAGGCCUUAUGACAGGACCGAGGAGCAAACCAAUGCCAUAGUGCGGGCAGAAUUGGACGCCCAUUUUGGACCGAAACCGGCAAUGCCACUGAGGGAGAAAGUGCCUAAGGAAAAGAUUGACCACUUCAUUCAUAUGUCUGCACCACCAGCUCCCAGGCCUGUUGACACAGACUAUGAGCGCCACAUCAGGAAGUUAAAUCGAGCACGCCUACAGAAAGAGGCGAGCUCGAGCUCGAGCAAAUCAGCUGGCAAAAAUGCGGUAAAAUCAUUCCCCAGCUGAGAGAACAGGCGGCGCAAUCAAUCCCCCCGCUUGUUGUGCCAGCAACACAUAAGAGUACACGCGCCCAAUAUUAUUGUGGGCAAACCAUUAACGUUCCCCAGCUGGGCGAUGUGGUAAUAACCGAGGAGCAUAAAAUGCAGGCUGAAAUCCUCAAGAUCACUGUUGGACAACUCCUUGAGAUCGAGCCCAUGCUGACGCUUAGAGAGGAGGAAAUAAAACGGAAAUAUGUUCGGGGCCAACCUUUGGUCAAGCCAGACGAGGUUAAGAAGCUCCCCGAGAAUGUAUGAAUUGCAUCAAUGGUACAUGAACAUUACCAAGAUUUCCAAUCGAGAGUCCCUCAUGGUGGAUGUCAAGAAGGAUCAUUACUACCAUGAGAAAGCUAUGGCCAUUGAGUAUUCUGAACUGUUUCAGUUAUACAAUCAAGACACACUCGACAAAUCUAUCGUCAGUUGCUAUUGUCUGUAAGUGAUUUCUUUCUGUAAUUUAAGUCUCAAGCUAGCUGUAGUGAUCCUUUUGAUCAAUUAUUACGUGUAAUUAUCCUCACUAUAUUCUUUUCUGUGGUAUUACGCACGAUGAAGAUGUAUGAAAUGAAAAAAGGUGGACGCUAUGGCAUUGGGUUCAUUGACCCAAACACCAUUAAUGAAUACACAUGGAAAUUAGAUGCAUAUCAUGAAAAAAGUGUAGAGGACAGCAUGCUAGAGUUCUUGAAGCGCCUCAAUAGCAAUGAAGAUAUACUACUUCCUUACAACUUCUAGUGAGUCACACUAUCUUGUACUACAAAUUCUUUGUUUUUGUCUACUAGCUAGCUACAUGUUUUUGCUUACUUAUGUAGGCUUAAUUAAGACAUGCACGUGUGUGCAUGCAGAUUUCACUGGAUCUUGUGUAUCAUUAAAGUUGACGCCGGAACAGUUGAAAUACUGGACUCACUACUCAAAAAACAAACUGACUACAACAUCUUGUAUGGGAUAGUCAACAGGUAAUUUCAAUCAUUAUUAAUUAUAUAUCUCGGUCUAUUUAGUUUGUCAUUUCCUGAUAUGAACUAUUUAAUAACCCCUUUAUUCAUUUUCUUUGUCGGCGGGCAGGGCUUGGGCAAGUUCAUCAGCGUCACUCCAGGCCAAUGGAAACAAAGACUGAAAUGGUUUCGACCCAAGGUAAGUAAUUAAGUAGUACUAGCUAGCUAGCUAGCUGCCAUCUCUUUAAUUAUCAUGCUUGAUUAAUUAUUAUCUGAUCAAAUUCCAUUCUCGUAAAGGCCCUUGAGCAGGCGCAGGGGACUGAUCUGUGUGCAUACUGCGUUUGUGAGAACAUUCGCAUGAUGGCGUCUGAAAGGAGCAGAUCUCAAAGACAAGAAUGGGUACGUUUGUCAGAACACUAUUCACAAUUUUUACACCAUUAUCGAUAUCUAGUCACACAACUAAUACACAUGCAUAUUGAUCUCCUUCUCAACAGUUCACAGAGGUGCGGGAGAAGCUCCUACCAACGGAGCGCGUACAAGCACUUCAAGAGGAAAUAGCGGAUUUUUUGCUCGAUCGGGUCAUAAAUCCGAACGGAGAAUACUAUUACCCGCUACCGCCCCCAUGAACCACUUCCAAUUGUCAUCGUGCUCCGAAGGCACCAAUUAGGCUAAUGCCACUGGCUCCAAAGGCAACAUUGUAGGAGAAAUUGUAUAUAGCUAGCUAAUUGUAUAUAUAUAUAUAUACAUGUGUGUAUGUGUGAAUUAAUAUGGUGGUUUGUGAGACAUUUGAUGAUAUAUAUAUGAUCGGUUCUACUAGAAAUUCUAUUUAUAUAUAUGCAUAACAUGUACAAUGUGUAGUAUCGUAAAAUACCAGCAAACGAAAAAGAAUUAAAUGGAAAACACAAAAUUAAAUGAAAAAGAAAUCAUAAACCCAAACCCCCCCAACCUUUUAAUACCGGUUGGUGUCACCAGCCGGUACUAAAGGGCUCCCUGCCCCCGGAGCUGGCUCGUGCCACGUGGUUGCCCUUUAGCACCGGUUUGUGCUGAACCGGUACUAAAGGGGGGGCCUUUAGUGCCCACACUUUAGUGCCGGUUACCGAACCGGCACUAAAGGGCCUUACGAACCGGUGCUAUUGCCCGGUUCUGCACUAGUGUCCUCUCUUGAAGCCCCUUCAUGUACUUCGACUUUUCUUUGGCAGCUUCGGCAACGCAAGCCGCCUUGAAUAUUUCAAGCCGCGCUUCCGUAAUUGUCUGAUUAUCCUUUACAAUCUUGGAGUAGGGUUCCCUUUUGUCGAUGAUCCUUUCUUUCACCCUUACUUUUCAGGCGGCCAACGCGUCGCUAAACUUGCUCAUGGCGCGUUUGUUUGACUUCUUGAUUGCCGGGUCUUUAACUGGAUCAGUAUAUUUCUUUUCAUCCCGACACGGGAACAAGAAUACCUGGUGUAGCUUCGUUAGGAGCGAGUGAUUCAUAUUUUCUAUCUUCUUUAGUUUCUCAUCGUUAAUGGUGGUGGUUGUCCGUAUGAUGUAGCCUAUUUGAUUGCUAUAACACACUCGCGCUUCCGCAUGCGCUUUUGGCUCAAAAUUGCCGUCGUCCACCUCCGUGACCACCAGUCUAGUAGUGAUGAGCUGGUUUGGGCGUCGACGUCUCCUCUUCGGUUUUGGUUCAAUACCGGCUUCACCAGUCUCGGUGCCGGUCUCGGUGUCGGGUUGGGUCUCAUGCUCAAGUCAUGCCAAAAUUCACGAAAAAUUUCGGCAUGACUUAUGCUAAAAAGUAGACAAAUCGAGCACCUGAAAUUUGCCGGAACGGAAAUGAAUCAACAUUCCGACAAAACAUAGGCCACUCGGCUUCAUUCCCUGGAAACAACAAAAGGCCACUUGGGCACAAUCGAACCACUUCAAUGUUGCAUAUAACAGGACCACUUAAGAACAUGUACAUGAGCAACUACAAUAGUAGAUAAACAUGAGCAAACACUAUUGAGGAAUUUGCAUAUAACAUGACCACUUCAAAUUUUGAUCUUCUAGUGUUUGACACUUAAAGAAAAUCUACACAAAUCUCAUGCUCUUUCAAACUCAAUUCAAAAACCAAAUAUAGAUGGAUGAACCCUUGAAACCUUGAACCUUUACAUAUUUAUGUCCUAAAUUGUUGUCCUAAUAAAAAUUAUGUUCUAAUAUAAAUUUUGAACCCUAGAAAUCAAUUUCUGUCCUAAAUUUCAAAUUAUGAACCCUAGAACUCAAUUCAAAUUAUGUCCUAAAUUUCUGUCAUAAUAAAAAAUCAGUAAAAAUUAAGAACCUACCGGACUUGCAUCACUAAUAGAAAUUUAUAUUUUUUAUAUUAACUUUUUUCUCUAAACUAAACCCUACUUCCCUAAUUAACAUUAAACACUAGUGCCCUAACAUUUCUAGUUAAACCUACUGCCCUAACCGUUCCCUACUGCCCUAGUACUUAAGCAUCUACAAGUUUGUCCUAAAAAUUGUAUUUAGUUAACUAUUUAAGCAUAUACAAUUUUUUCCUAAAAAUUAUAUUUAGUUAACUACUUAAGCAUAUACAAAAAUUUCCCUAAAAUUUAUAUUUAGUUAACUACAUUGGGUGCACAACAACUAUACAACUACUUAAGCAUCUACAAGUACUAGCUAAUUUGAUGAACCCUAACUAAUUAGAUGAACCCUAACUAAUUUGAUGAACCCUAGGAACCCUAGCUAGGCAGAGGUAGGGGAGGAGGAGGAGGACAUGUCCGUAGGCGUGCUUACCUUGGGCGCCGACGGAGUUAGGGAGCAGGAGGAGGCAGAGCGGCCGACGAAGGGGGCGCGCAGCGAGGGCGGGGUCGGGGCUCAGGCGCGCGGCAAGGGCGGGCACCAGGCGGCCACGGAGGGCAGCACAUGGCGUGCGGAGGGCGACGGCGUGCGGAAGGCGACGGCGAUGUAGGGCGAUGGCGGCGACGACAUCAUAGGUGAGUGGGGAUUUGGGGGAAAUGGCCGGGGGAAAACCGCGCGGGCCGGUUAAGUCAAACAUAGCAGUAGCGCUUGUGCGGAAAAGCGCUAUAGCUGACUUAGCUAUAGCUCUUUCUACCAAAACGCGCUACGGCUAUAGGAAGUAGUUAUUUAUUUUCCUUUUUCUUUUCUUUUUAUCAAGGAAUGUAGCUAUAGGGCGGGCCUAUGAAACACGCUACUGCUAUAGUAACUACAUCGCUUUGUGGCAACAAGCGCUACUGCUAUGCCUUUCUUCUUUAUUUUUCUUUUUCUUUUAUUUAUCUUUAUAUUUUCUUUUUUCAUUUCUCCCUUUUCUACUUCUUUCAUAUUCAUUUACUUUUCUACUUUUUUCUAUUUUAUUUUCUUCUUUUAGCAGUAGCGCUCUAUACAGGAAACACGCUACUAGAAGGAACUUAGCGGUAGCGUGCUUUUUGCAGCCGCACUACUACUAUUCCUAGCCUACCGACAACAGCGUGGGAAUUAUAGUAGUAGCGUUUUUUCUCGCAGAUGCGCUACUGCUACAACUAUAGUUGUAGCGGGCUUUUCUGACGCGCGCUACUACUAGGUAGCAGUAGCGCUCUGUUCUAACCAGCCCUACUGCUAUACCUCUGUUUAUAAGGAUUUUCCUAGUAGUGAGAGGGAAGAAAAGUAAGCUAGGUGAUGAGUAACCAUGCCAACAUUAGCAACAUCCAGUACAAAAUAAUUAAUACACAGAGAGAGAUGAAAUAGACAAGUGAGAUGCAAAUUAAUUAAUAGUACAUGUAAAUCAGAUUAGAACAGGUUUUAGUAGAAGUGACAAGGGAGAAAAGACCGCGGAAGACGGCACCAUUGCAUGACCAUGUCAGCAUCUUUGCCGCAGUGAUCUUCUCCUCGGGUAUAUGGAAAAGUCGAAACUAUCUUAUGUGUGAUGAUAUCGAUAACCACCACCGAAACAUCAUCAAUCUCGUUCUUCUUCCUCGGCUCGGAGAUGAGGAAGUGCACAAGAUGCGGCUUGUCCAUACUCACAAGAGGGAAUGUGGUCAUGGCGUGGUCGGGCAUAAGCCUCUUCUGACGGGCGUUAAGAUACCAUAGAUCUUCUGAAUCAAUGAGCGCAUCCCUGUGCCACCUGUGAUCUGUUGUGCAGAAAGUAUGGCAUGCGAUUUUGUAAAAAGAACUGACUCUGAUCUGGCCACAGCAGACACCGACACUACGGACCACGUCGACGAACUUAAGCUGCUCGUUGCCCCUUGCGCCGGUGACACACAGGCUGCGGUACUGCUCGAGUAAUUGGUCGGUUGGUGAUAAAGUCUUGGGACGGUUGUCGAUGGGCGUCGGAUGUACGAGAUGCUGCUGCUGCUUUCUGCUACUAUUCCUGCUAGAGGAGGUGGUGUAUACCGGAGGAUGCCUCCUUGGUGGUAAUCAAACCAGCAUAUGGAUUUGCCAAAUGUGACAGCACCAUCGGCUGACCAACCCUUGAGGUCAAAGAAUUCCUCCUCGGCAUGCUGGAUCGGCAGCUCCAGGACCUCCCACUCGCCCUCAGCAACGCCAUCAUCAUCGUCAUCUUGAGUGUUGGUGUUGGAUUUGGAAGAAGAAGAGGGCAGACGGGAGCACUGUUUCAAAUAGCCCGCUAUAGCUCCGCUAUAGCACGCUAUAGCGUUUACGAAAGGUCUUGCGCUAAGAAACUUUGGUCCAAACAAAUGAACAAAUAUUUUAAAUAGCGCGCUAUAGCUCCGUUAUAGCACACUAUAGCAUUUGAAAGAGGUCCGGCGCUAAGAUGCUUAGCGCGCUAUUUAAAACUUUGGACGGGAGCGGAACACACAUAGCUCAGCUCCCAUCUUGGGGGCGCUGCCCGGAGUAUGCACGAACUUGGCCAGCUGCACCACCGCAAACUCGCCCUCGUCGCCAUCACUAGCACCAGGAAGUGAAACAAUACCGAUCGUGUUCUGAUGAAACCAGCGCUCCAUAGUCACCUCCGACUCCCCGUAUGGUAGCACUAUGGAUUGGGUGCACGCCGGGAGCCGUCUGAGCAGCGAAUUGUCCCCGGCGGAGGAGGCGGCUUUGAAGACGAAGUAGUCCUGCGCGUAAUCAUUAUCGCCAGUCCCUGUGGGGGAGGUGAUCCUGAGUAGGAGGAGACCUCGGUGGGCCGUGAGGAGUUCGGCUGACCUACCAUUACCAUCAUCAGGCUCCUCCGGCGGACUGAGCGGCCACUGCACGUAGAGGCGGGAGAGCAUGGGUGGGGCGGCGGCGAGCAAGGCGACGUUGAAGAUUUCCCCCACAGAGGUGAGGGACUGAGCUCUCAUGUGCGUGGCCUCGGCGUCCGGGAAAAGCUCGUCGUCCCGGCGGAAGACGAAGCGAUCUAGCAUCACCCAUGAGAUGUCUGCAACCGGACAGUCACCGUGGUUGCCGCCGCUUGCAGAUCGAUACAUGGCCAUGGAUCCGCGCAGAUGAAUUCUCGGCGUAUCUAGCGUGUUGAGACGGAAGUCUAUUCAGAUAUGAACGUCCCUUGAUUUGGAGCCUUGGAGGCUGUGGGAAGUGGUAUCUGCCUAGUGUAUAUGUAUGCACAAAGCUGCCGACCCAUGGAUCACGUAGAUGCUUCGAGUCCGAACCGGACUCAGCUUAUUACACCUUGCCUAAACACACACGAACUAGUACUCCUGAACGCCUGGAUUAGUCUAGGACACGAACUACUACUACCACACGACAUGCAAGCGUAUUCCAAAUUUCCAAUACGUAGUACUCCACCAGUAGAGCUAGUAGAUGCAAACGCUAACUUGACUAGUAGAAAGCCCGUGCGUUGCCACGGGCUUUUGAAAUAUUUUUUUGAAGAUAUAUAUAUGCAUGUUAAAUUUCACAUGUAUAGAAAAGAUAACCAGUAACAAUCAUGUAAUAAUUGAAGUCCACCUCACUUACGAUAUAAGUUGAUAAAAAGGUAAUUUGACAAUGUAUAUAUUGAGAGUGGUGAUCUAACUAAUAAUCUCUUAUAAAUUAACAUCUACUUGAUACCCUUAAGAUAUUUUGCACAAUAUCAGAAAUGUUGUCUUUAACUUUAUUCAUAUGAUAUUUAAGCAAAGAAUAAUAAGAACUUCCUUAGCUCAAAACUAUGCUGCAAGGGUAAUAUAUGUAGUUAGCACGAUAUUUUUGUGAAAGGUCUCAAAAUGUGCAACGAAUAAUACUCAUCGUGCAAACCGGACAAACCAAAUCAUUACCGUUCCAUGAGAGCAUACAAUCAAAAACAAAAUACCCAGACACAUCUCUGCAAUUUCCUAAAUUGAUAUUAUCUUGAAUAUAGUGAUAACAAAAACAAAUGCUUGUUUCUUGUUUAUUAUGAUAAUGGAAUAUAUAAAUUUAAUCGUCUGUGCUCAUUGAAAUAACAUAUACUCACCACAAAGAGGCCGCACGCAGGGCAAUCCUCUCACUAGCUCCACACAAUCAUCGUUUCCAUGGCGCCUCCCCUUUGCUCAACACCGUCGCCCGACCACUCCCCUCCUCUCGACGGAAUUGGCCGGCUCCUCCUCUCCCUGCCACAAUCACCCCCUCCUCUCCCCUCCACAACGUCGGCGCUCCUCCUCUCCACACCAUCGAUGGAGCAUGUAUGCUCUUGUCCCCGCCGCCUCCCUUCCCCCGAAACAGAAAUGUCCAUGUGUUUUCACAAUGUGGAUUAAAUAAUGUUUUAAUCCAAAAAUGUUUAUAAACAUAAUGGUGUGUGAUUUUUGUUCAUAUAACGACAAACUAUUUCUCUCUCACUCCUUUCCUCUGGGGUGUGUCUCCUUGACCAUCCUCUCUUUACAAGGAGGUGACCCUUACAAGAAGACAAAAUAACAUCUUGUCCUCAACAACACUCUCCUUACAAUAAGGUAAACCUUAGAAGAAGAAAAACUAACGUCCUUCUCCCGAUGACUCUUCCCCUCAACCUUCACUCUCGUCAUGUGUCUAAUCUCUCUUUCAAAAUUGUAUAGCGUGUGACAAUAGUAGCAAGAAACGCNNNNNNNNNNNNNNNNNNNNNNNNNNNNNNNNNNNNNNNNNNNNNNNNNNNNNNNNNNNNNNNNNNNNNNNNNNNNNNNNNNNNNNNNNNNNNNNNNNNNNNNNNNNNNNNNNNNNNNNNNNNNNNNNNNNNNNNNNNNNNNNNNNNNNNNNNNNNNNNNNNNNNNNNNNNNNNNNNNNNNNNNNNNNNNNNNNNNNNNNNNNNNNNNNNNNNNNNNNNNNNNNNNNNNNNNNNNNNNNNNNNNNNNNNNNNNNNNNNNNNNNNNNNNNNNNNNNNNNNNNNNNNNNNNNNNNNNNNNNNNNNNNNNNNNNNNNNNNNNUGUAUAGCGUGUGUGACAAUAGUAGCAAGAAACACAGACUGAAUCCAUAUUUACCCCCGCCCCUGCAGCUGCCACCCAGGCGACUUGGGGUAACCCUAGCUGCGUCGAAUACAGAUGGAAUACAACGAGAAAUGACCGCACACUAAAUUUCUGAUUUACAAAUAAUGAAAGACACACUUAGUGCAAUGAUUUUUUUGGCUCCAACGAAGGUAACAGUUUUGAGACUGCAAAGGAACAUAAAGAAAAAUAAAUGUGAUGUAUACCGGAGAAAAAGAAACUAAAACAAAGACCUGGUUAACUAAAAUGACAGUAACCAUAAACUUAUUUCAUUUCAUUAUGGUAUGCACGUUGCUACGGUGACUUGCGAGCGACAUACAAAUUUAAAUGUACCACAUGCUUGGUACGGAAUGGUAAUCAUGGUUACUCGCUUUCAUGCCGUCACUCCAUGGGCUCCUCACACAGUACACCACAAGCCAUGGCCAUAUAUAUUUAACAGUAGAAAUCACAUCUUGCAUGUCCAAGCGCAAACCCCAUAUGAUAGCAAGCCCCCGCAAGAGCACACCUUGGCAAUCUCUUCCAUGUCUAUGGAGACGAGGGAGAAUCUAGACACGUACCUCCAUCGCAAGUGCCUCUCUGCCCCUCCCUGUAUCACCCUUCAUUACCUGUGUCUGCAGCGCCUAAAUCAGACAAUGGUGAGUCGAGUCUUGUUGUCCGCCCUACUUUUUAUAGCUUUACUCUCCACCUUACUUCCCGCUCGUUCGCUUAUGCACACUACCGGACUCGCGGUCUAUGCCUACGGCCACGGGCCGUCGGCAUAGGCCCCUAAGCCGUCGGCAUAGAUAUAUGCCUACGGUUGCCGUCGGCAUAGACCCAUCGGCGUAGAUGUCGUCAGCGUAGUCUUGUCAAACCGUCGGCAUAGUACAGCAGUCGGUAUAGGGGCCUAUGCCGACGGCCUGGCGUCAGCCGUCGGCAUAGUUUAGCCGUCGGCAGUGUUUUUCGUCCGACGACAACGGACGGCGCCGUCAAAAGCGCUGACGAAUCAUGCAACGCCACGUGGCAACCCGUGGUACUCCUGGUGGCAUAGAUGAAUCUAUGCUGACGGCUUUAAAUGCAUGGAAUAUGAAAGGCAUGGCACGAUGGCCACAUGCAUGGAAUCAUCAAGCAAGACCACCUCCGCCAAAACCACCACCUCCGCCAAAACCACCACCACCUCUGCCAAAACUGCCAUCACGACCACCACCACUCUGCCAGAUCGGAGUGACUGGGGUCGACGGAGCAGGAGUCGAGCCACCGGUCCCCUACAUGUUUCAGAAAAGAUUCUAAUGGUAAAUAUGAUAUGAUAGUGUUGAAUGAACGAGAACUAGUUUGACAGUAGUUACGCAAAUGUACUAGCGACGCGUUGUCGUAUCACAUCCUCUCUACCAUGGUCCCGCUUGGCAAAGUUUAUCGGCAUAUUAAAGUGGGGCAUAAAUCCAUGCGUGCGAAGGUGCUUAGUCAUCUCACUCUUAUCUUUGCGGAUACGUCUCUUACAUCUGGCACACGGGCAUUCUGGCACCAUCCUCAUUGGACUACGAAAUAUUUAUUUCAAAAACACAUCAGUUUUCUCGACCCACUCUGUUGUUACUUGAUUCUGACGGAAAAACCCACUAUACAUCCACUGAUUAUCUGCCAUCUCUGCUUUAUUGGAAGCCACACAACAAAAUUAAGGAUUCAUUUAAAUUACUCACUAUUUUUUACAAGGUUGACGAGAAUCGACAUUUAAUCCACCUACAUCUCUAAUAGGUAAAGAUGGGUCCUAAUCCCACCCGAGAAUGUGUAGAUUGAGUACGUUGUCCAUGCUCUACCCCAUUCCGAGACAAAAUUUCGGCAGCACCUCCCCGCUGUUCUCCAAAUACAUGUCUCGGCAAAAUGCCGAGAGAAUGUGCAUCCGGAGAACAACAGGGAGGCGUCGCCGAAAUCCUGUCUCGGAACGGGGUAGAGCAUGAACAACGUACCCAAUCUACACAUCCUCGGGAUAUCCGUGGAAAGCGCUGGGCAAUCUGAAAGAGCUGCGGUGAUAAAUAUGCAAUUGAAUGCAUAUUUAUCGAUGCAACCCUUUCGGACGGGAGACGCCUAGGUCUACGUGACUUGACAUGAAAAUGAAAUCUAGUGACAUGGAAAAAAAUCGGGCGAGGUCAUGGAAUUGUUGCUCACCCUCCGAUGUAGAGGAUGUAGUCGAUCAAAGGACGGACGAUCAUGGACCAACACCUCCGACGUCAACGAUCCCUCCACGAAGAUGGAACACCACAAAUCCUGUUAAUUCCACCGAGUGAAAAAAUUAGGUCAUCACCUCACAUUAAGCAUUGACACAUUAAACUAUGAAAAAAAAAUCAUAUUUUCUCAAGUGUCAAUUUUGGAAGCACUUAUCAUAUCCCAAUUUAGGUAAUCACCUCACAUUAAGCACUGACAUAUCAUUUUUUUAGCAACAUCAUCAUGAUGAAAUAACCACUUAUCAUAUCCCAAAUUUGAAGCCCAUCUCACAUAGCUACUUAACAACAUCACAAACUGAAAAUAAAAACUAAAUCAUGCAUCCAUUCAUUUUGCCGAGAUUCAUCCAUCCAUCUAAGACACAUAGAACAUUCAUCCGUCUAACAACCUAACAACAUCCAACAUCCAUCCAUUCAUACAUCCAACAUCCAUCCACUCAUACAUCCAACAGUAGCUAAAUCAUGCAAAAAAAUGAAGACAAAAAGACAAAGGAGUGCUAGCUCACCGAGGAGAGGGGUGUAGCGGGUGUGGAGUUGGGGCCGGCGGUGGAGGGGACGGGAGGGCCGGGGCGUGGCUGGGCCGGCCAGAGAAGCACGGCCAACGGGAGGGCCAGGGCGGUGCGGCCGGAGGGAAGNNNNNNNNNNNNNNNNNNNNNNNNNNNNNNNNNNNNNNNNNNNNNNNNNNNNNNNNNNNNNNNNNNNNNNNNNNNNNNNNNNNNNNNNNNNNNNNNNNNNNNNNNNNNNNNNNNNNNNNNNNNNNNNNNNNNNNNNNNNNNNNNNNNNNNNNNNNNNNNNNNNNNNNNNNNNNNNNNNNNNNNNNNNNNNNNNNNNNNNNNNNNNNNNNNNNNNNNNNNNGGAGGCGGCGCGGGUGUGGAGGAGGAGGCGGCGUGGGUGUGGAGGGUGGGGAGUCGGGGGCGCGAUGGGGAAUGGGUGGAGGGGGCGAGCCCGUGAGUGGAUAAGGCGAAGUAUGCCGAAGCCGUCGGCAUAUCUGACGAUGCCACGUGGCACCUAUGCCGACGGCUUAGCCGUAGGCAUAUAUAAUUUUUAGAUUUUUUAAUAUUUUCUUAUAGUUAUAUUUUUUCAUUUUUUUUAGAAUUUUUAAUAUUUUCUUAUAGUUAUAUAUUUUUAGAUUUUUUAUAGUAAUAUUUUUCCAUUUUAUGUUUUUAUGUAUUAUUAUUUCAUAUAGAUUUUUUAAUUCUUUUAACCGCUCGGCCCUCUCCUCUCCCGGAACAUCGACGGUGGGGGUGGGGGCGGCGGCGGAUCCAAGUCCGUCGGAGGGAGAUGGUUGGCCCUCCCAGACACCUGGGAGCAACAUCCGGGCCAAACCCACAGCUACAUCCCCUCCAUGUAGACCCGACGCGUCCGUUUCCCCCCUCUGGAUGCCGGCGGCGGCAUCGUCCGUGAGGGGGAGGGGGUCGUCGACGGUGGGGGUGGGGGCGGCAGCGGAUCCAAGUCCAUCGGAGGGAGAUGGUUGACGCUCCCAGACACCUGGGAGCAACAUCCGGGCCAAACCCACAGCUACAUCCCCUCCAUGUAGACCCGACACGUCCGUUUCCCCCCUCUGGAUGCCGGCGGCGGUGCCGUCCGUGAGGGGGGCCACACACCGAAGACGCGUGCCGCCUCUUCGGACAUGCAAUCACACCACCCCGCAUGUAUGAGGGCCCGGUGCGACGCUCCGGUGGUAUUACUACCCCCAGGGCCCCCGUCCCGCCUAACCCUGUAGCAUUUGACCACGGGAUCUAGCCCUUUGACUUUGCACGGACGGGCUUUGACCAGCAGACCUCCCUGCCCGGUUGUGUUAGGUCAGCCCAUAGGAACACUUUGGAGCAACAACCGGGCCAGACCCACAGCAAGAUCCGCUUCGUGCAGACCCGACGCGUCCGUUUCCCCCCUCCAGGUGCCGGCGGCGGCGGUGUCCGUGAGGGGGCACACUCCGGACACGCGUGCCGGGCGUUUGCAACCGCCACAACACUUCUAGACUUGUGAGAGGCCGCCUACGCAAGAUUUGGCGGCAUGCUAGCCCCCGGAGGCCGCCGGCCAUAGCCGUAGACGCGCGAAAGGCAAUCCGCCUAGAGGGAAUUUUUCGGAUACUUCUCCAUCACCAAAAAUUAUGAAAAAAUACCAUCGUUCCUAUAGCACAUGUGCCCACGUCGUACAAAAAAACUCAUGAUUUUAUCGCGCUCCGAGUAUUUAAUAAUAUUCACGCCGCAUCGUUACCGCAGAACGUCUACUACCGUGUCAUCGCCGUCCGUGAGGGGGGCCACGCCCCGGAGACGCGUGUCGCCUCUUCGGACAUGCCAUCACACCACCCCGCAUGUAUGAGGGCCCGGUGCGAUGCUCCGGUGGCAUUGCUACCCCCAGGGCCCCCGUCCCGCCUAACCCUGUAGCGUUUGACCACGGGAUCUAGCCCUUUGACUUUGCACGGACGGGCUUUGACCAGCGGACCUCCCCGCCCGGUUGUGUUAGGUCAGCCCAUAGAAACACUUUGGAGCAACAACCGGGCCAGACCCACAGCAAGAUCCCCUCCGUGUAGACCCGACGCGUCUGUUUCCCCCCUCCAGGUGCCGGCGGCGGCGCCGUCCGUGAGGGGGGGCACACCCCGGACACGCGUGCCGGGCGUUUGCAACCGCCACAACACUUCUAGACUUGUGAGAGGCCGCCUAUGCAAGAUUUGGCGGCAUGCUAGCCCCCGGAGGCCACCGGCCACAACCGUAGACGCGCGAAAGGCAAUCCGCGUAGAGGGAAUUUUUCGGAUACUUCUCCAUCACUAAAAAUUAUGAAAAAAUAUCAUCGUUCCUAUAGCACGUGUGCCCACGUCGUGCAAAAAAACUCAUGAUUUUAUCACGCUCUGAGUAUUUAAUAAUAUUCACGCCGCAUCGUUACCGCAGAACGUCUACUACCGUGUCAUCACCGUUCGUGAGGGGAAACCACGCCCCGGAGACGCGUGUCGCCUCUUCGGACAUGCCAUCACACCACCCCGCAUGUAUGAGGGCCCGGUGCGACGCUCCGGUGGCAUUGCUACCCCCCAGUGCCCCCGUCCCGCCUAACCCUGUAGCGUUUGACCACGGGAUCUAGCCCUUUGACUUUGCAUGGACGGGCUUUGACCAGUGGACCUCCCCACCCGGUUGUGUUAGGUCGGCCCAUAGGAACACUUUGGAGCAACAUCCGGGCCAGACCCACAACAAGAUCCCCUCCGUGUAGACCCGACGCGUCCGUUUCCCCCCUCCAGGUGCCGGCGGCGGCACCGUCCGUGAGGGGGGGCACACCCCGGAGACGUGUGCCGCCUCUUCGGACAUGCGACCACACCACCUCGCAUGUAUGAGGGGCCGGUGCGAUGCUCUAGUGGCAUUGCUACCCCCCAGGGCCCCGUCCCGCCUAACCCUGGAGCGGUUCACCACGAGAUCUAGCCCUUUGACUUCCCACGGACGGGCUUUGACCAGUGGGCCUCUCCACUCGGUUGUGUCAGGUCAGCAUAGAGGGACACCUGGAGCAACAUUCGGGGCCAAACCGACAGCUACAUCCCCUCCGUGUACACCCGACGCGUCUGUUUCCCCCCUCCAGGUGCCGGCGGCGGCGCCGUCCGUUAGGGGGACCAUGCCCCGGAGAUGUGUACCGCCUCUUCGGACAUGCCACAACACCACCUGGUUGUGGUAGGUCAUCCCAUAGAAACACUUUGGAGCAACGUCCCCUCCGUAUAGACCCGAUGUGGCUGUUUCCGCCCUCCAGAUGCCGGCGGCGGUGCUGUCCGUGAGGGGGGCAGACCGCGGACGUGAGGGGGUCACACUCCGGAGACGGGUGCCGGGAGUUUGCAACCGCCACAAAACUUCUGUCGGCAUAGCUGUUUUUGAUUUUAAUAAAAUAUAAUGUCCUAUAUUCAAAAGAACAUGACGUCACAUUAUUACUGUGCUAAAAAAUACAAACUAUAUAUAUAUAUAUAUAUAUAUAUAUAUAUAUAUAUAUUCAUAAUCUAUGAAAAAAAUUACAAACUACAUAUAUAUUCAUAAUUUAUGGAAAAAAUUACAGACUACAUAUAUAUUCAUAUAAUAAUACAUAAAAAAGCAUAUGCUACAUGUCAGUUAAUAUAAUAGUACAUAAAAAAGCAUAAAAAAGCAUAUGCUACAUGUCAGUUAAUAUGCCGACGGCAUUGCCGUCGGCAUAUAAAUGGCAGGGUUUAGGUGGGCGGCGUGCCGCGGAUCGUUGACGUGGCGGGUAUGCCGACGGCGACCGUCGGCAUAUCUGCUGGACGGUGCACCGCGGAUCGGUGACGUGGCAUGAGGAUAUAUGCCGACGGUCGCCCGUCCCGGCCGUCGGCAUAGAUUUGACGACGUUAGCCGCUGGUCACGGGCGGGGUCGCCGGGCCCAUGGGUAUGCCGACGGCCUGUUUAUGCCGAUGGUUGCCGUCGGCGUGUUCGCAGCUGGGCCGACGACAGUUUUAUGCCGACGGGUGCCAUCGGCUUAGCUUGUGGUAGCCCGACGGCCAAGAUACGCCGACGGCCAGGACGUGGCUGUCGGCAUAGCUCAAAGUAGGCCGACGGCGGCCGUCGGCAUUGUUUUGGCCGUCGGGGUAGGGCCGUUUUCCGGUAGUGGCAACCCCUAAGCUCGAAGGAAUUCUUUAGGAUUUGGAAUGUUCCAGGUUAACCAGGAGAGGUGGGCCCAAUACAUAGAUUUGCACAACACAUAUACUCAACACAUCUGAUUUGACUUGCCAUAAACAAAAUACUAUUGAGUAUUGAGUUGUAUCUAAAGGAAUAUUAGUAGAAUGCCCGUGCGUUGCCACGGGCUUUUUAACUUUUUUAUGAUUGUUGUAUAAAAUUCUGUGAAUUUUUUACUCCUUCCAACGAAAUUGACGCAGGCCCUUGUCGAAGGAUUCUUUUUGAACAUCAACCUAAUCUAUCUCCAUCUCUAUCAUAUACCCCGCGAAAAAAAGUAUUAUCAUGUGCAACAUAUAUACAAGGAAAGAAUAAUUAUUUGUAUGCAUCUCAUUGUGUAAAAUUGGAUGACUUUUGAGUCCAAUCGCUCAUAGUUACAUCUGCGACUUUGUCAAUCGAAAUUUUCAAAGCAUCAUCCGAAGCCAUCAAUUUUUAUUAUCUCUGACCUACAAAAGUUAACAAAUAAAAAUACAUUAAAUAAAUAAAUAAAAUACAAAGUAGCAUGUGCAUUGUCGUCACAUAGAAUGUAUGUCAUCUCACCACACCAUUGCUGCAUCUUUUCUAAACUUCCCCGCAUACUCCGAGAGAUGAUGGCGUAUUGUACAUCUGAUUGAAAAAAUAAGAUGAUUAUCACUACCUCGAGAGAUGAUGGCGUAUAGGAUUAGUUAACUGUCCGUGCAUUGGAAAGGGUCAUAAACAUUUCAAUGGUUUAACACGAAUUGUGUCAACUGUACAUCAGUGGUGCAUUUGACUUGCAACACACUUUCAAUUCAAAGAUUUCUGAGUGGAAAAAGGAUACGUAAUAGGUCCUUGUUAUAUACAUAACCAUAAGGUCAAAGGAACCCCAUCCUAAUCUAAGUUAAGCAAAACCCUAUGAGGAAAUUCUGAAUGGUGCUCCUCUUGAACAUCCUAUGAGGAAUAACAAUAUUAAGCAAAACCCGAAACGGUAGUUUAGUGCUUUGAAAAAAAUUACUAUUGCCUGAUCAACUUCGUCUUUAGGAGUAUCUACCGGGGUUUAUAUUUUAAUACAUCCUUUCUUAAAUGUCAGUCUUUGCAUAAAACCUUCAUGUUUCCAAAACACUAUCAUGCAGAAUUCACAUUCUUUAUGAGAAAUACACCUCAUAAUAGAAACUCUGUAUCAUAAUAGAAAUUGUAGGUUUCCUUGAGGGGAAACAUACUAAUGGUCAGAUACGCAUCAUCAUCACAGUUUCAGCCUCUACCGCUACUCAGCAUUACUCAUCUUGUGCAACCUCUCGUCUUUCUUAUUCCGCUCCCUUUUCUGGAGUUUGUCUUCACCAGCGGUAGCAACAAAAGCAAGAUAAGUAAACACACUUCUACAAAGUCGCUGAAACAUGGAUUCAUUAACCCUGUAAACCUAAAGAUCAAGUGAAAGAAAAAAUAAAAUAGAAACUUCUCAUCAGCAAGUAAAAGUUCAGGAAGUCACUGGAACAUAGAACCCAAGAUCAAGUGAAGAACAAUGGAAUUAAAACAUAAAGUAGCAAUAAUAAUGGAAGGGAAGAUCAGCCAUGCCAGUCUACGUAAAGCAAUCCAAAUAAUCCUUCCCUCCUAAUCAUGCUCAGCUAUGCUAACUCUGUAUUGGAUAGAGAAUGGUUUCACCUAUGAGUUCACAAUAGUACUACAUGAUUGGUAGAGCAAGCAUUAGGCUUAAUCCAAGAAUAAGGAGUGCGUCGCAAAUGGACAAGCUCCAAGUCAACACGCUGAUUGUUGUAAAAAUACACCAUAUCGACAUUCCUUCAAUUUUGGCAACAAAUAAAAAGAAAGUAGAAAUACUUGGUUCAAGCUAGUAUUGAUGUAGAGAAAAUAAGCCUUUAAAAUGUGUGGUAUGUGGUUGGCUUACAGAUACUCUUAUGUCUAAAUUUCUCCACAUAAUGUAGGAUUCAUUAUACAAGAUGCAUCAAAACUUAAGUUGAAUGGAUGGAUAUGUACCAGUGUACAUAGAUAUGUAUGCAUCCAGCAACCACAUGGGGAAAAAUAUUGAAGUGAAGCCAUCUGUGCUGAACCCCACAGUUCUGAAUCUAAAUCUUAAAUGCCCAUCACAUUGGCACUCAAUGGUUACACCGACUACUGAAAUUUCUUAGUAGAAAACAACAUCAUUUACGAACCUUUCUCUUUAAAACACCACUAAUACUGCAAUUUUGUAGUCUAACCAUACACCACUAAUACUGCACAUAGUCUGCAUCCUGCCAUGUACUAACUGAAAUAUAUGGAGCUUGCUAUGUUGUAUUAAAAUAAAAUAAGCCGGUCUUUUCUCUGCCCCGCAAAAGGUCAGUCUUUUGCCAUCCUCAAACAAGUUUGUGACAGACUAUGAUUGCACUUCACAUACAUGAAGUAACAAAGAAAUAGUUUCAACUUAAAAAAAACAUAGAUUAGUAAGAAGGAUAUAUGUUCUCAUUGUGCAUAUGAAUGGGCAUCAUAAAUCAAAGAAUUGAAUCUCAAGAUGCAACUUUUAUCAAAGUCAGGUAUGAGUAUCAAUGUGCAGGUAAGCAUGCGGGUUUAACCUGAUUCGUGCACACUAAUUAGACAUCUUUUUAGAUGGUCAGUACUAAGCAUGUACUCCCUCUGUUCCAAAAUAGAUGACUCGACUUUGUACUAACUCAAAGUCGAGUCAUCUAUUUUGGAACGGAGGGAGUAGUACUGAAGCAGUACUUUCUUUUGAUGUAUACUUACUUGCUACUCCAACUUGCAGUACUGAAGCAUGUACCACACUAAUUAGACAUAUUAGAUGGUAAGUUCCUUCUGACUUGCGCAUAGACAUGGUGUCAUUUAUGUCAGAACAAUGUACACGGCAGCUGACCGAGUAUUAAGUCUCAAGUAAUAGGACUGUAAGUAGUCGAGCAACUGAAUAAGUAUAAUAUUCAAACGUUGCAGCCUUGGUUUGCCUACAAAAAAGACAGAGUAAAGCAUAUAUAAAUGCCAAUUGCAUGAUUUAUUCCAAAUUAAUAAUUACAAGAUGCAACAAUGGAUAUUAGUGGCGUGGAGAUAACCCUAUGUGGCGGCGGAGCUCCUUGGAGCCGACGAGUGUGAGAGAGGAGCUCCCUGCUCCUCUCCUCUGUUUUGGGGGUGAGACCGCGAGGUGAACGAGCACAUUUUGCAGAGGUCCAGCAUUUCCCUACUUUUCUCAUAGUGGUAUUGCAUAACGAGUGGAAUUCAUUCCUGAAAAACAUCAAACUGCCAUUGAAUGGUGUCCAUGUGUCAUCAUCUAUUCCCCUAAGACAAUGAAAUUGGGUGACAUGCAAUCAAACAAGAUAAGUUGGGUCUAAUUAAUCAAAAGCACGCACCUGAUUUCAACGAAGAAUAUGCCGCUGUCUCUUCCCUUGAGCCUUCAAUUAAUAGUACGAACUCAUGGUCAAUUUUAAUCUGUUAAACAAAUGCACAUGUGUGAAGCACACAACAAGAGAUUGAUCUGCUAUUGGCACUAUCGAAUGUACAUAGAAGCAUUCUUAAAUAUUCUCAUAUGAUUGGCAGUUAUUCAUUUUGCGGAAAUCCAUCAAUCAGAAACAUAUUAUUUCCAAUCACAAGCAUGUUCUUUACUAAUUAGCAUGACAAUGAUCUCAAAAGGCACAAGCUUUCCUUCAUACAUGAGAUCCUUGAUCAUUGUACUAACUGAAAGAGGCUGGCAUUAAAAAUAUAUCAAGACAAUUAUUACAACGUAAGAGUAUAUUUACAGAAACUGAAAGAAGACUGUUACCUGCUCCAUAUCACUUUAACUUCUUCACGAAGAAGAUCACCAGCACUCAGAUGUGCAAACCCAUACUCAAAUGAGAUCCUUGAUCAUUGUACUAACUGAAAGAGGCUGGCAUUAAAAAGAUAUCAAGAAAAUUAUCACAACGUAAGAGUAUAUAUACAGGAACUCUUUAUGUAUUGUGCAUUCUAAAUUACAAGAAAAUUAUCGCACGGGCAUUGUACUAAUAUGUGUUGUGCUGCCCUAUAUGUAUUUGAUGUUCAAGGAAUUCUUUAGGCUUUGGCCUGUAGUCAGCGCACAUAUAUGUUUGGUUCAUGCAAGUAAGACACGUGAAAUUCCAUUAUAGGUGGCAGGGGAAUGGAUUUACUCUAGAAAAUUGCUAGGAAUUAAUCAGCAUGUCAAAAGAGAAUUAGAGGAGUAAAUCACAAAGCUUGUUUCAGCCAUUGGAGGAAGAAGUCUGUUACUUAUCAUCAAAGAAGCAUGUUCAACGCACGGCCCUAUAAUGGAAUUACAUCAAGAGAAGAAAAGGUGCUCUCAAGUUGUUAUGCAUAUCAUAUAGCACAUGCAGGACAACAAAAUGACAGUCAUCAAGGAAAAUAUAUAAUUACCAAAAUCAACCCCAAAUCAGCACUCCCCUCGCCAUCUAUGUAUCAGACUACUUGGAACUGAACUGUAUGUAAAGCAAGAUUUAAAUGUUGACCAUUAGUCCUCAAUGUCCCAUGUGUUCUCCAUCAUGCUCCUGACUUUACUAUCAUAUUCUAGUUCGUAGUCUAAAUUCAGUUACUGGUUGCACUCACCCCUAAGUGAACACUAAAAGUUUUAACAGGAUAAAUCACACAUAUAUAUCAUUACCUUAGUCAAUAGAGUCCUGGAACUGUGUCACAAGAUCCCGACAAAACUGACCAGAGUUUUUGUAGUUCUCUGAAACUUUUCAUGUCUGGUUCGCUACUACUCAUAGUUAUUUCCUGGAUUCAAUAAGCCCCAUGAAAGCAGACCAUUUCUUGGGGUAUACAACUGAAAAUAAGGUUGUAAAAUUCAUCAAAAUCAUCUAGAACAAACAAUAUGACAUACUUUUUGCACAAGUACUGUAAAAACAGGUAUUAGCUAUCCUAGCCUUUUGGCUUGAACUGAAAAAACAGUAUGACAUACUUUUUUACUCCUACAACUACCUUCGUGAUGAUAGGAAGAAAGUGUCGCAGACACUCUGCACAUUUAUUUUGUUGGAUUGUGCAGAUCCAAUUGAGCAGUCCCUAAAGCUGGAAGGAUUAUAGUUGGAAACAAAAUACCUGGAGGUAACAGCCUUUGUUGUGAUAGUACUUGCUUUAUUGUCAAUGAGGAAGUGCUAGAAGUAUGAGAAAAAUCCCAGUAUACCAUCAAUUAUUGAUUACUUGUCAAACCCAAGAAAGCAUUCACACCUCCAAGAUGUUUGUUAGACUGUUAACAUAGCAUGAAUUCACUUCAUAGUACUCCUUUCUGUACAUAUAAUUAGAUAAAAGAGAAUACUGGUUAUGAACUAUAUUCAUAAUAUGAAUGACAAUGUGAAUCUCUCCGGCAAAAUUAGGAAGCAAAUAUUGGUUAGGAACCAAGGUUAAAAGCAAACCUUACAUAUGAUAAUAUUGCUAUUCUUUUCUUCUUCAUUUCCAUUUUUUGUUCAGUCCAUAAGUGCAUGAACUGAACAACCAAAUCAGAUUUAAGCAGAAAUAGAACAAUAGAGGGGUUGGGUGCAGAUCAUCCAGUUUUAAACAUCAAGAACCGGAAUUUGCAAAAACAGUAAUCUACCUGGCGAUGUUGGAUGUCGUCCAGCGGAGGAGAUGAAGGAGCAUGUCCUGAUGUCCCAAUGGAAACUCCUUGACCUCCAUGGAAAUCUUGCAGUAUUAACUGAAAACUCACCUUGCUUAUCAGUAUCUGCCUCCAGACCCACAACAAUCAUAGGGCACCUCCUCCUUGUUCCCAUGUGGUUAUCUUCCCCUGUUAAAAAGAAGAAACAUCAUCUGUAAAAUCAUGGUGAUUGAAUCAAGGGAACAAAGAGCAAACACACAUCGUCGUCUAGAGCUUCAAUGUCACUAUGGGAGGCCCAUGCACCAGCGGUGAUUGGAGACUCGUGCUGACUGCCCCCACCAUCAGCGGUGAUUGGGUCCUCCACCACGAUUCACCUCAUGAGCGCACAAGAAUUGAUCAAGGUAGUUGACGGUGGUAGAACAACGGUACAGACACCCAAAGUUCUAAAUAGAGCGCUAGUCCUCUUAGUGGCGGCUCGGCCAAAAGGUUUGAAACUCUAUAGCGUGCUAAGGCCCAUUUAGCGUUUCAUCAUAAAUUAAUAAAAAAAAUAAAAACAUAUAAUCAGGCAUCAAAUUAAUAUAUACAUGACAAUUGAUAUUCCUGCAAAACUCGGAACCGGCAAAUCUGGUUCAAACAAAAAAGAACAAGGGCCAUCUUAUUCUAACCUGACAUCUCAGAUGACCACCACCGAACUAAUUGCAUUCCAAGAAAAGAUGUGCCCUGGAUGUUUUUAAAAGUUAAAACCCGCAUCUCACAAUUCCAAAUUUUCAAAACUGAGUGGUGCUACAUAUUAUUAAAACAAUUCAUUGGUUUGUUCUGGCACAAUCGGAGGAGGGAAUUUACCAGCUCAUAGGCACACAAACCAACAGCAAGAGGUAUACAGGAGAUUGUGUGCCCAUGAUUUCCCAAAAACACCUGAAAAUUUACUACAAUUAUAAAUAAGAGGAGACACGAAGAGAGCAAGGUCAAAAAAGUGACGGGGAUGCGUCAGCAUGCACCUCCCAGCGAGGGGAAUCGGCCUGAGGGGGCGCCAUUGUCGGGAUUGGGUAGAUGACGGGCUGCCUCGGAGGUCGAUGGGACAACGCGGUCGUGUCCAUCUCCUCAUUGUGGCCAACCUGAUGCAGCAGAUGAAUACGGACCGGUGUGGCGGCACCAAUAAAAGUUUGUAUAAAUAGGAUAAUCACAGAUCUAAUACAACAUCAAGGUCCAGGUUUCACGAUUGCAUUCAGUACAUGAAUUCUAGAUGUGUUAUGACUUAUGGCUAAUGUGUCAUUGUACAGUCAAAAUUACUCGAAUGAAAUAUAAGAAAUCAAUUGGUCUUUCACUAACACGAUUGUGAGUCAACAUUAUGUCCACUUUUACAACAGACGACAAGUCAUGUCCUAGUUUAAGUUGAAAGGCCUCAUUACAAUUGAGAGCUUCUUCUAGGAUACUUCAGAAGUUUUUUCUACUUUUAUUUGAAUUGCAGAUAAUCGAAAGGUAUGGUGACAAGACAACCUGUUAAUUUGGCAUACCUUUAGAGAGCAACUAUUGACCUUUCCCUUGAAUACAGAGAAUUGCUUAAUCUGAAGACCAAAGCGAAGCGGGCUGCUAGAAUAAUAGAACAGACAAUUUGAGCAAAAUUAACACCUACCCAAAAAUUAGGUGCCCAAAGAUAAUCCAGGUACACAUUGAGGAAUGGCAUAUCCAACUCAUCCACUGCAACAAGAAGAGUUUGCGAAAGCUAGAAAAUUUGCUUGUUAGCCAAUGAAGAAAGACAGAAGCAAACAUGCCCGGUUCCUCUUAAAAUAAGCUAAGAAGGAGAAACAAACUACACCACAACAAUUGAUUGGGGGCAGUUAACUGCCGGGAGAAAAACCUAUUUAAGGGCAAACUAACUGCCGUGACAUGUGUUACUGCCGCUAGAAACGUGUUAGGGCGGUACAACUGCUUUGAGAACUUUAAUAACAACGGCAUCUGCACUACCGGUACACUUUACGGCACAAAAUCUGCCGGGAGAACAAAAUCUCGGCCCAUAAUCUGCCGGCCCAUGCCGGAGACCGUCUUUGGCGCGAAACAGGAAAACGGUCCUAAUAAGCGCGCGCCAGAGAUGAAAAAAAGCGCGCGGCCUGACGAAUAUUUUGGCCCAUUGAGAAAUACUAGCGUCGGCCUCCCACGACCAGAUCCACAACACGCCACCCCCAAAUCCCCUGCAUCUAGCAGAUCCCCCGCCGCCGCCGCCCCGAAACCUAGCUAGUUCGUGCACCGCGCAGCCGCCUCUCUGCUCGACCACCGUGCGCCAGCGUAGCUCCCCGGCCCCCACUGCCGGCGUAGCCCCUCACCACCGCAGCUCCUCUGCCGCCGCGCACCCCAAUCCGCCCUCCACUGGACUGCAAGCCGCCGCCGCCCCCAACUAUCCACCACCGGCGGAGGCCCUCCAACAAGCAAACCGCUGCCGCCGUCGCCCCCCAUCACGCGUGGCAGACACUCCGCCCCUCCGCCACCCCAAGAGCCACUUCAUCCUGCUGCCGUGGUCACCCCACUCCAGAGCGGCACCUCCGAGCACCCCGUCGGCCACCAUCGUCAUCACCAAGCCACAACACCAGCGGACACCAUCCUCCGUCGAAGGGCUUCGUCACAGCAACUAUGUACUACGCUCGUGCACUUCCUCCCCGAGCAGGCUUCACCAAGCAUCAAGUGACGGGUCUGCCUCCUCCACAAGCCCCCGAAGCAGCAGACCACGUGUUGGCCCUCCUCUCCAGCGAGCAGCUUUGCCUGCUGAACAUCCUUUCCCUGGACAUCGCUGCCUCCUUUACUUCAUUGGACAGGUGAGGUUUGGUAGCAAUUUGUGUGCCUUCUUUUGUUCUGAAUGUGUAGCACUGAACUAUUCCGUCAGUUAGAACAAAACAUCAAUUUUUUAUUGCUUUGGUGUAAUAACAGCAAAAAAACAUAUUCAUUUAAUUUGGGAUGAAAGAAAGCUAGUUUUGGAGUUCAUUUGUAGCCCUUCAGAACACUGCUACUGUUAUUACUGAACGAACAAGUUAUUACUGAUGCUUUGGAGUUCAUUUGUAGCCCUUCAGAACACUGCUGCUGCAAGUGCAAUGUUAUUACUGAACUUUUUGCUUGUCUACGAACAAAAACUGCUACUGUUAUUAGCCCUUCAGAUCAAAGAACACGGACCAUUGGUGAUUAACAAGGGCAUAGCUUAAUUAGAUUCGUUGACACCUGACUAAGUUGUUUCAUUGAGCUUUGGAGUUCAUUUAAUUUGAGAUGAAAUAAAGCUAGUUAUUUAAGUCUGUUUGUUUAGUUGAUGCCCCAAAGUAGUACCAUAUUUGUUUGUGCUUUGCGAAAUAGGAGAUGUGGACAGAACAGGUGCUAUGCUUUUAUCACAUAUAUGACAUUCUUGCUGCUAUUUUGGUUUUUGUAUUUUCUGAAAUUACAUGUUUCGGUUAAUUAUAUUCUGUUGUGUGAUGGCAUUUCUUCUUCGUAUUGUAUUUCUUGUCGCCUGUACUAGAUAUUGAUGAUAUGCAAUUUGUUACUAGAUUUUUUCAUUAAUAGAAGUAAACUUUCUUUCACAUGUUAGUCAAUUUUAGUGAAACUGGUCAAGAAUGGACAAGAGUUGGAUGGAUAAAGCUAGAAAUACACAAGCAUAUAUAGACGGGGUAGAGAAAUUCAUAGAUUUUGCUUUUACUCAUUCAGCAAGAGGGAACACUAUACUGUGUCCUUGUAGAAUUUGCUUGAACUGUUGUUGGUUUGAAGCUAGUGUUGUCUAUGAACACUUGUUAUGCGAUGGGUUUAUUAGUGGGUACAAAAGAUGAUAUAUCAUGGGGAGGCAUCAUCACCUCUUGCAUCCGAGAGUGACCAUGAUGAGGUUCAACCUGAUAAUUUUCAAGAGGAGAUUGACCUAGAUGACUAUGAUGAGAUGCUUGAAAUGAUUCAAGAUAUAGCACAUCAAAAUGGGGAUUUUAGUGAUAGUAGUGGGGAGGAUCCAAGUCACCAGGAUGCUGAGCCUGAGGGCGUCGACCCUUUUCUAGAGAAGAAAAAGAAGAAAGAUGAAGAUGCUUUCCGACAAUUCAUAGCUGAUGAUAGGGAGGAGCUUUAUCCAGGGUGCACAACCUUCUCAAAGCUACGUUUCGUUGUUAGGUUACUCCAUGCAAAAUCUUUUGGAGGUUGGAGUGAUAAAAGUUUCGACAUACUGCUAGAGUUGCUAAAAGAGGCCUUUCCAACAGCAAAGCUACCCAAAAAUUUUUAUGAACCUAAGAAGAUGAUAAAAUGCCUUGAGCUUGGUUAUAUAAAAAUUCAUGCAUGUGAGAAUGAUUGCAUUUUGUUCUGGAAGGAACAUGCAAAUAAGGAUAUUUGUCCUACAUGCAAAACUUCUCGGUGGAAAUCUGAAAAGAAUAGUCUUGAUGGGAAACAUGUACACAAGGUCCCAAGGAAGGUUCUUCGUUAUUUUCCAAUAAAAAAGAGGCUACAACGCCUUUUUGUGUCCCCAAAGAAUGCAGCGGACUGCAGAUGGCAUGCUAAAGAACAUACAAGAGAUGGACUAAUAAGGCACACAGCGGAUGCACCUGUUUGGAAGGACUUUGAUGGCAAAUAUCCAGAUGUUUCUAAAGAUAGUCGCAACAUGAGGAUGCUUGUAGUAUCUAAUGGUUUUAAUCCAUUUAUAACAAUGAAGUUAUCCUAUAGUAUCUGGCCUGUUGUAGUAAUUUCGUUGAAUCUUCCUCCUUGGUUGUGCAUGAAGCAGCAUAAUUUCAUCCUCUCUUUGCUAAUUCCUGGUCCAAGGUCACCUGGGGGAGAUAUAGAUGUCUUUCUUGAACCACUUAUUGAUGAUUUGAACUCACUUUUCGAGGAGGGUGUUAGAACCUAUGACGCCUCCAUCGGUAAACCCUUCAAUCUGCAUGCUGCUGUAUUGUCAACUACAUCAGACCUCCCAGGCUUAUGCACUCUAUCCGGGAUUGUAACCUUUGGUGAAUUUGGCUGUCCAUUGUGUGGCUCACAUACUUGCUCUCGUCGGUUGAAGGAAGGCAAGAAAUUUUGCUAUAUGGGUCAUCGAAGGUUUCUUGAUCCUAACCAUGAAUACAGAUUUGAUGAAGAAUCCUUUGAUGGUGUGGAAUUAGGGACAACACCUGUACCACUUACUGGAGAGGAAGUUUUGGCCCUCACUGAAAAUAGGAAGACUCUUUUUGGAAAGGACCCUUCCGGGAAAACAACCACCAAGAAGCGCAAGGUUGGCGAACCACAAAUGGUUCGGAAAAGAAAAUCCAUAUGGUUGCUGCAGCCUCAUAAUCUUGAUGCAAUGCACAUUGAAAAGAACGUAUGUGAAAAUAUAAUUAACACACUUCUAUGCAUGGAUCAAAAAUCAAAAGAUAAUUAUAGCUCUCGUAGAGAUCUAGAGCAUCUUGGAAUAAGAAAAGCUCUCCAACCUGUCCCAGUAGGUGAACAAUUUGAUUUGCCUGCUGCACCCUAUGCAAUGGACAAUGAAAAGAAGAAAUUGUUUUGCGAAAUUUGUAAGGAAGCCAGGUUCCCUGAUGGUUGUGCAUCUGAUAUACGCCAGAAUGUCCUUGUGAAGCAGAAAAAGAUCGUUGGGCUGAAGAGCCAUGACAAUCACAUUCUUAUGCAGCAAUUGCUUCCGCUAGCUGUUCGGAACACAUUGCUAAAGGAAGUCGGUGUUGCCUUGGUUCGUGUCAGCAGAUUCUUCAAGCAAAUAUAUUCUCCUGUCAUUAGCAUAAGUGACAUGGAGAAGCUAGAGGGAGAAAUAGCUGAGACCUUGAGCAUUCUUGAGGCCAUAUUUCUACCAUCAUUUUUUGAUCUUAUGGUUCACUUGAUGGUUCAUCUUCCAACCCAAGUGAGGCUAGGGGGCCCAGUAAAGUAUAGCAGCAUGUACCCAGUAGAAAGGUCAUCCCUGUAAACCUAUUUUCUUGGUAUCAUAUGGUUUCUUACUCUUCAAAAUAAUCUGAUAUAUGUUACCUAUAUACUAUAUAGGUAUGAUAUGAAGCUAAAGGGGUUUGUUCGUAGCAAGAGCCACCCAGAGGGGUCAAUUGCAGAGGGCUAUGUGUUUGAUGAGAGCCUUACAUUCUGCUCCCAUUAUUUACAUGGAUGUGAGACUAGAUUUAACAGAAAGUGCAGAAAUGACGCCCCUGAGACCAAUGUAUCUACUAUGCCAUUUUUUACCAACAAGGGUCGGUUUUUGGCUGAAAAACAUAUAGUGACCUCAUGGCUGCAAGCACAUCGAUAUGUUCUAUUUAAUUAUGAUAAGAUAGAUUCAUAUUUGAGGUAUUUUAUUUCUAAGAAUUUCUAUCAUUUGAGCCUAUGAACGAUAUUUGUCAUAUUGCUGAAUUUGCAUACUUAACUCCUGCAGGAAGUAUGAUGCCUAUUUAACUUCGAUUGGCCACGGGAAUAACUUAGAGAUUAGUCGCAUUCGCCAUGAGAAAUUCUAUGAGUGGUUUAAGCUCCAUGUGGCACAACUAAUUGCUAGUGGUGAAGAUAUUUCUGAAGACAUUCAAACUUUAGCUAACGGGCCCUUCUUAGCUGCAAGGAAGUGUAAUAGCUAUACCAUAGAUGGGUACAAUUUCCACACAAAUUCGUAUGAUCAGGGUAGACCUACCCAAAGCAGCGGGGUUGCUCUUGUAUCUCAGAUUUUGUCUUCCACAAGCGAAGAUAAUGAAAAUCUUAUGGUCAGCAAUAAAAUAUAUUAUGGUGUGAUAACUGAAAUCCUUGAGUUAAAUUAUAACAACAAAGGAAGUAUUGUGCUUUUCAAAUGUGAUUGGGUUGACAACAGUGCACAAGACAAGUGGGUUCAAGUCGAUCAUCUUGGUGUCACACGUGUGAACUUCAAGCAUUUACUCAAGUCUGAUGAACCUUUCAUUUUUACAUCUCAAGCAACUCAAGUGUACUAUGUGCAAGAUAAGCUUGAUAAAGGUUGGUAUUCUGUUAGAAGCUUUCCUCAUCCACGAGACCUGUAUGAUAUGUUUGAAGUGGGAGAUGAAGAUUUUGACCACCAUGAUGCACCUACUGUGUCAAUUGCUGAUCUGGAUGCCAAUGUAGAUCUUAGUGUUGAUGUUAGAAAUAUACCUCGUAGUAGGAUGGAUAUAGAUGGAACAUUUGUUCCUACAGUUCAGCAACCAAAGUGUGUGCCUUUUCCUUAAAUUUUUCAGUUACAUGCUUAUAUACUAGAUAUCCAAUGUGUCAAUUCUAAUGUGCUAUAAAAUUUCUUUUCAGGAAAAAAAUGGAAAAAGGAAGAGACGAAGACAAUGCUGAAGCACGAGAGGAAGCGAGGCUAGCGAAUCUUAAAGCAAGAAACAGUGAGGAUUUUGCACGAUUUGGGUCUUUCAGAUUUGCAGAUGCUAACGAAGUUUCUGGAGGCAAAGCCAGUCAGCGCCAACCUAAAAGAAAGAAGGUGAUAUAACAUGUUUCUAUUUGGUUAUUGCAUCUAUUACUUCAGUUUUACAUAUCUUGUUUCGUUAUGUGUAGAGCACCGUAGAAAAGCCUGCUGUUGAAGUAACUCGAGUUCUUAGGUCCCAAAUGACUAGAGAUGUUGAUGACAUGCCAAGUGAUAACAUUGAAGAGCAUGAAGUUACAUAGCUAUUUUCCAUGUUAGUUAAAGGAUGAUAUAUAGCCUACUAACUAUUUUCCAUGUUUAGACCAUGAGUUGGUUCAAGAAGCGAAGGGGAAGAAGGGGAAAAACACACUAGAAUGCACAAUGUGUAUGAUAGAUUGGGGACAGUCCCACCAAUCCGUGUGGAGUACAAUGGUGAUGGACAACCAAUUGGGGAAAAUGCAUCGGAGUUUUCAAACUUCAUCUCCACACUUGUGAAAAGUAAAAUAUCUCUUGGGCAUAAUGAUUGGAGAAAGGUUGAUGUUGAGGAGAAAAAUCAUUUGUGGAAAACCUUAAAGGUAUAAUCUAUAAUCUAUGAUUUCUGCUAUAACUUGCCCCUUUAUCUCUAGAUGACUUGUAGUAUAACUUUCCCCUUUAUCUAAUACAUCACCUUACACUCUCCAUUUACACUUGCUUGAAAGCAGAUGUACUAUGUUGUGGAUGACAAACUGAAGGAUUGGGUAAUGGGAAGCGCUGCAAAGAAAUGGAGGGAUUUCAAAUCUGAGUUGAAGACUUUGUAUUUUGAUGAGAAGAUGACCGAUGAGGAACUUCAAGUUGUCCCAGAUAAUAGAGUUAGCCCAACUGAUUGGAAAGAGCUUGUUGCUUUUUGGAAAACUGAAGCAGGGAAGGUACGCUGCAAGAAAAUAUAUGUGUAGUUUCCUGCAGUUUUGCUCUAAUUUACAAUUCAUUGAAUCAAUAUUUGUAGCGAGCAAGGAAGAAAAAAUCGAAUGGAGAUGGAAUUAUUGCAUACAUCAGGCAGCAAAAGUCAUGCCUGUGUUUCUCAUGAAAUGGUAUAUAAUGAUCUUACAUAACUCUAUUUUGCACCGUUUCUUGAUUGUUAUGAACUAAUUAUAAGAAAAUGAAUGUAGCAUAAGAAGAAUGGAUACCCCCCUCAGGGACAUGAACUGUUUAUAGAAACACACACGUGCAAGAAGACUGGUGCCCCUUCAAGUGUGGCUGCAGCAAAUAUGUUUGUAAGUAUUUGAGUUGCAACAAUCUUUAGGCUUUGUACUUGUUAGUUUUUUCUCUAGAACAUUGGAGUUAUAGUCUUUAGUAGACACUAUGUUGCUGAUGUGUUCAUGGAUCAUAUGUUCUGUCUUGUAGAAAAAGAUAGAAGAGAAGUCAAAUGAGCGUCCAGAACUUUUAGAAAAAAGCAUCAAGCAAGGUGACCUCUUCUCGCAUGUCGCGGGGAAGGAGAGGAAUGGGUAUGUGAGGUGUAUAGGUCUAGGACCAAGUGUGGCAGGUUUGGGCAUGCCGGGUACUAGAAAGCUGAAAUCCAUGAAGCUUCAAAUGGCCGAGGAAGAAGCAAAAGAAGCUCGACAAUCAAAUGCAAUUCUUGUCGAGCGUGUAGAUAAAAUGGAGCAUAAUUUCCAAACAGUAGUUACAACUCUGAAGGAUGAACUUCAACAAAUGAGGAGACUGUUACAAUCAAAUGUGCAGCAAAAUAUUUAGUUCAAUCCAGACUAUGACUUGUCUCACUCUGGAUAUGGAUAUGGAUAUCGACAUGAAGGUGGAUAUGAAGGUGGAUAUGGAGGUGGCCAUGGAGGUGGAUAUCGACAUGAAGAUGGAUAUGAAGGAGGAUAUGGAGGUGGAUAUGGACAGGAAGGGGGGUAUGAACAUGAAGGGGAGUAUGAGCAUGAAGAGAGUGCAGAAUCUGCCACCCGCAGCCAUGAGGUGCGGCAAGAGAAAGAAGCAACCAUUUUGCAUAAGAAGGCUCAAGAAGCACUCUUGCAAAAGAAGUUAACAGCACCCACUCAGAAAAACUUUGUACUUUCUAGUACCGCCCUACAUGAGGUGCUGCAAGAGAAGGAAUCAACCAUUUUGCAAAAGAAUAAGGCAACAGGGCUCACACAACAAAGUAAGGAUGUAGCACUUCAUCGCCACAAGAUGGCAACAAGCAAGGAAGUUGCAAUCACACAAAAAAGCCAGCAGGUUAGAUGGCACUUUGUUUAUAAUUUGUUGCUCUUUCUUGUUUAGACAAAGACACUUUUGCUUAUCUGAGUUCUUUUUCAUGCUUACUCAGAAAGGAAAGGAUGUGAUCUUGUACAAUGUUUAUCGAGAUCAUAGUAUCCCAGUGGCAAAAGCAACCAUUCUAUCAAUUGAUCGUAGAAAGGUGGUAGGUGGUCAGGAGCUUGGCUCUAAAUAUUGUGAGGUUGCCGUGAACUAUGUAAUAAAAAGGGAUGCUAUACUACCUCGUGGUGUUUGGAACAUGACCACCAUGGGGCAAGUUCAAGGGCAAUGUAUCGCGUGGCCAUACAAGCAUGUGAGCUUUUGUUCUUAUUUUCUUAUGAUUAAACUUACCAAUGACUAUGAUGGUUGAUUGCUGAAAAAGCUUUGCUUCUAUGUAUGCAGUUGGAAGUGGACAAGUCUAUGGAAAAAGCAGGAAUGCGACCACAAGCAGGCUGAGGAGGUAAUAUACAUGUUUCUCUUGGCUGCUAUAUGGGUGAUGUUGACUUGCUGCAUGGUUGAUUGCCUGAUCUAUGUGACUGGGCCGAUGGAGACUUUUAUUGGAUGUUGUUCUUGCAUGUCCUGUGUAUGCAUGUUCUUGCAUAUGACUAGUGGAAGAUUUUACAUGUCCAUUCUUGCAUAACAUCUUCCACUAUUGUCUCUUUAUACUUGUUGUCCUGUUUGUCUAGUCAGUUACGGAUCUGUCAUUGAAUUUUUUCUUGUUUCAAGUACACUAAAAUAUUUAUCGCAUUUUAUACUGUAGCCAGAGUCUGACUGUUCAUUUCCAGCAUGACUUGAACUUUUAUAUGAUGCAGAUUGCAAGGAGUUUGGUACCUUCACAAAUAGGAAUGAGUAUUCUAGCAACAGGACCAUAUUUCGUCCCUGAUCGCACAUGGCCUGUUUUUUAGAUGCAUGCCAAGUAGUAUAUACUUCUACCUUAUUUCUAAACUGAUCAGUCUCCGUUAAAGUUUCACAACUUAAGGUUGAAAAAUCUUCAUUUUGGUUUAAUAAUGUAAUAGAUAGAUGCUGCCAAUUCUUGAUAAGUGGUCACUUUAGUCGAUAACUUGGUAUACAUGUUUACCUCUACCUCUGGAGUGAGGUUUAUAUUUACCCUUUGCAACAAUUGCAUGUUAACUUGGUAUACGUGUUGCUUAUGUCCUGUUCUGGAAUGGCAUCGAGCCCAUUACUUGCAGAAUCAUCAGCUUCCCUUUAUCAAGCCCAAUACUUGCAGAAUCAUCAACCUUUUCUUUCUUAUUUUUCUUGGCAGUUGACAUAGUUGAUGCUUUCUUAGGGGUAGCUUUCCUAGCCUCCUGUUGUUCUUUGGUUGGUUUAGCUAAUCAAGAUCUUCAGUGUGUACAACAUGUUAGAUGCAUCCAAUUUUUGAAACCUAUGAAUAGUUUACCAUCCAAAGAUGAUGUUAUUAAUUAGUAUCUCUGACGUGAUUGUUCUGUUGUAUUAUUGUCCUGUACUGCUGUGACGAUGUGACUAUAUCAGAUUGUUUUGGUAAUUUGCUACUGAAAUAUUGAUUCCUUCAUCCUUUGUUCGAUAAUAAUUGGCUGCACGUGAGCAAUAUUAGUGUUCCUGUAUACUAGACGAGGCAUAGGCGCAUAGUUUGGUUUUUCAAAAAAUUGCCACUUUGUACUAUGGUGUAUUCUUUUGUACAUGUGUCAUAUUAUUCCCUGAGAUGCAAAGAAUGACUACUCUCCAGGUCUUUGUAAAUGUUCCUUGAGUUUAACUGUAGCAUGUCAACUUCAAUGUUAAUUUAAAUUCUCAAACGAGAGCUCCCUAUUGAGUAUCCUAUGUGUUGCAGGUUUCCCAAAGGUACACAAGUCAAAUGAAGGUUUGGAAGAUUUUCAAGCUCCUAAAGAUUUGGAAGACCUACAAUAGUUGGUGGAGUGUUUAUGUAAUAUGCUUGUUUACUUUGUGAAACCUGGACACACUUGCUCCGCUCAUUUUGCUGGUUGUUAAGCCGUUCUGCUCAUUUUGGUUGUGUGGCACACCCAGAAACAUGUACUUCUCCAUUUGUCGCACUAUUUACUUUUGUUGGUUGUGUGGCACAUUUUAAAACAUAUCUGCACUGUACCUUUUGUGGCACAACCUCCUUAUAUGUAUAUUAUGGUUAUGUUUAUCCAAUGACGUUUUAAGGUUCUGGAUGAGGCCUGAUAUUAUUUUGAUUGAAGUGUGUGGAUGAGACAUAUACGACUUUGAUUGAAGUAUAUAAAUUGUACGUGUGAUAUGUCCUGAUUGACUGAACAUACUAAAUGGAUAUUACAUAGGGGAUGCCCAGAACAAUUAGGUAGUGAAAU
rnacentral:lncRNA from 1 species